CAAAAUUUCAUAUAAUUGAGCAAAUAUUCAUCAAUUAUAGAUGCUUUGUCUGCCAGACAAGGGCAGGAUACAGAAUGGCAGAACAGAUUAUAUGCUUUGUGAUCGACAAGUUAAUUCAACUACUCAUCACCACAGAAGCAAACCUUUCGAGAAAUGCAAGUACUGAAGUUGGUUUCAUCAAAGAUGAACUCGAGAGCAUCCGAUCAUUCCUCAAGGAAGCAGAUGCUAAGGCUGCAGCAGCAGACGGAGAGACGGGGAAUGAUGGUGUCAAAACUUGGGUCAAUCAAGUAAGAGAAGCAGCUUUUUAUAUUGAAGAUGUGAUUGAUGAAUAUUUGCUCCGCAUCUUACAGCAUCAUCAACACCAUGCAUUCCUUCGUUCUUUCCACAAAAUUAUCCGGUUGGCUAAAAAAUUGAGAUCACAGGAUGGGAUAGUUUUGAAAGUUGACGGUAUAAAAGAAUUGGUUCGUGGAAUCAAGGAGAGAAGUGAAAGAUAUGGAUUCAAAUCCCUUGAUCAGCAAGGCCAGAGCAGUGGAGAAAACAACGACCCUCGAGUGGCUUCCCUUUUCAUUGAGCAAGCUGAAAUCGUGGGGAUUGAAUCUACCAGAGAUGAGCUGACUGGUUUGUUGGUAGAAGAAGCACCAAGACGUAAAGUGAUAUCAGUGGUUGGCAUGGGAGGACUUGGGAAAACCACUCUUGCCAAGAAAGUAUAUGACCAGCCGAAGGUGAUGGCACACUUUGAUUGCUAUGCUUGGAUUACGGUGUCCCAAUCGUACAGGGUUGAGGAUCUUCUGAGGACGGUAAUAAAAAAGUUCUACAUUUCAAGGAAGGAGCUUUUCCCAGAGGAAAUCGACACAAUGGAUGAGGAGUCCCUGAUUAGCACAGCAAGAGAGUAUUUGCAGCAAAAGAGGUACGUUGUUGUGUUUGAUGAUGUGUGGAAAGUAGAUUUUUGGGGGGCUAUAGAACAUGCUUUACCCGAUAAUAAAGGCGGACGAAUAAUUAUCACUACACGGAUUCAAGGUGUUGCCAACUUUUGCAGAAGAUCUUGUUUUGUUCAUGUUCAUCACUUGCAGCAUCUGCCUCCAAACAAGGCAUGGGAAUUGUUUUGCAGAAAGGCAUUUCAGUUUGAAUUGGAGGGAAAGUGUCCUGAAGAUUUGGAAGAGUUGUCUCUUAACAUCGUCAAAAGAUGCGAAGGACUACCUUUGGCAAUUGUUUCCAUAGCUGGUCUGCUGUCAACCAAAGCUAAAGUUGUGUCUGAAUGGCAGAAGUUAUACAAUAGCUUAAGUUCAGAGUUAGAAAGCAAUCCCCACCUUACAAGCCUCACAAGAAUCAUAUCCCUCAGCUAUCACCAUCUGCCGUAUUACCUCAAAUCGUGUGUAUUAUACUUUGGCAUCUUUCCCGAGGAUUACUCAGUUAGUUGCAUAAGAUUAGUUCGGUUGUGGAUCGCUGAAGGUUUUGUGAAACCGAAGAGGGGCAAGACACUAGAAGAGGUUGGAGAGGAAUACUUGAUGGAGCUAAUUCACAGAAGCCUGGUUCAAGUUUCAGAAGUUUACAUUGAUGGAAAAGCUCGAGGUUGUAGAGUUCAUGAUCUAUUGCAUGACGUCCUCCUUAAGAAGGGGUUGGAUUCGAGCUUCUGUCAUGUGUUAUCAAAAGACGAGUCAACUUUUAAACCAACAACUCGACGUCUCUCAAUGGACAUCAGUCCUUCUGAGGCCGUGGGAAGCUUUACACAAUCUCAUAUUCGUUCUGUAUUUACUUUCAACCUAGAAGAAUGGCCUGGGUCUUUUCUCGAUACAUUGAGUGGAAACAUUAAACUUCUGAAAGUAUUGGAUUUCACAGAUGCUCCAAUCAAUCAACUUCCGAAAUAUGUGGGGGAUUUGUAUCUCUUGACGUAUUUAAGCUUGAGGAAUACAAGGGUGGAGUUGCUUCCAGACUUCAUAGGCAAUCUACAAAACUUGGAAACCUUGGAUCUAAAACAGUCUUUGGUGUAUGAAAUACCAGCCAAGAUCAAUAAGCUUGUUAAGCUGCGGCAUCUUUUGGCCUACCAUCGUGACUACAACUACGACGUGGGUUUGUAUUGGAAUUUGGAAAGAGGAGUGAAGAUACAUGAAGGUAUUGGAUGCUUACAAGCUUUGCAAAAUUGUCCUAUGUGGAGGCGAAUCAUGGAGGGAUCAGGUUAAUCAAAGAAUUGGGAAAGUUACGACAGCUACGGAAGUUAGGCCUAAAAAACUUGAAAAGUGAAGAUGGAAGGGCUGUGUGUGCUUCUAUUGAAAAGAUGAACCACCUUGAAUCUCUAAUUUUAACUGCAAUAAAUGAAGAUGAAGUCCUUGAUCUAGAAUCCAUUUCAACUCCACCACAAUUUAUUCGUGCUCUCUUCUUGAUAGGGCGUUUAGAGCAGUUGCCAGGUUGGAUUUCAAAUCUUCAACACCUCGUCAGAUUGGUGAUUUGUUGGUCAAGGUUGAGAGAUUCCCCACUAAAAGCCCUUCAAAAUCUACCUAAUCUGUUGGAGCUAACUUUGGAUAUCAAUGCAUAUGAUGGUGUGCAGCUGCAUUUUGAGGAAGGAGGAUUUCAUAAACUUAGAAAGCUACAUCUCAGGGAAAUGAUGGGACUAAAUUCGUUGAUCAUAGACGAUGGUGUCAUGCCUCUUCUCCAAGAGUUUCGCAUUGGGCCUUCCCCACAAAUGAAUGAGGUACCCUCUGGCAUCCACCAUCUCCGGAAUCUGACAUAUCUUCAUUUCUAUGACAUGCCAAAGGAGUUUGCGCGACAGAUGGAUCCAAAAAAUGGCCAACAUUAUUGGAUUGUUGAACAUAUACAAAAUGUUCGUUUUAGUUACAAGGUCGGACCAAGAUGGCGUGUAUAUGAAAUUCACGCCCUGCGUGAUUCCAACUUUUCUCUUUGGUGGAAUGCUUGAUUCCAACUUGUGAAACCAAGCAUGGGAAUGGGAUAUGCUUUGGUUAAGAGUUGGUUGUUAGCUCUGGUAUCCUAGUUUCUCUUGCAGGUUGACUGGGAGGGGCUCUUUCUCUUCUGUUUUCUUUGUGUCGUCCAAUCGUAUUCCUAGCAUUUUCCUUGUAAUUUUAUUGGUGGUUGCAAUAAAAAUAUCCUAUCCAAUUGAUUUUCUCUAGGAAAAUGAUAAACCGUAUGCUCCUUUUAACCUCACUUUGAUAAUUGAAGUUAAAAUAUUAAAUUUUUACUAUUUUUGAUCUUACCAAUUCUUUACUAUUUUAUAUUCUUUAUAUUAAUUUGUAAUCUCUAACAUAUUUUGUUAAUCAAAGGGUAGAUUUUGUGGAUUAUAGAAAUUUCAUGAAUCAUGAUUGUUUUUUUUUAUUUGCCAAAAAAUUCAUGAAUCAUGAUUGAGCAUUCUCCUUUUGUAUGUCACACAUAUUGAUCCAGCCACAUAUUUUUUGUAUGCACAAUAAUGAAAAUGUGUUAAGCGUUUAACGGUGUAAAUUCAAACUCCGUCGAUAACUAACGUAACAAAAUUUAUCGACAGACAAAAAAAAUAAAAAUUAGGUACAAGAUGUAAAGGUGAGGGCCCACAAAUGCAAGCGUUGGGGAUAGCGGAGUGGAUCCCACGAUUUCAAAAUUAUGGACAGGAGGAACAUUUCUCUCAAACUUGGGCGCUAAAAAAAGUCGUCGUCGUUUUUCCUUUUCUGGCUGAGUUUGCCUUCUUAAACCAACCCGACAUUCUCGGCCCAAACAAAUGUUCAAACCUUUCCGUUACUUCCCUUCACAAAUUUCCAAUUAGGGUUUCACAUUAACCUUGAUCAGAACUUCUACGUACAUAUAUAUACAUAUAUAUAUUUAUAUAUAAUCUCUCUCUCCCUCUGUUUCUGAAUUUUGAUUUCCCGGGAAGGUUUCAAACCCGAUCGUUUCUUCGAAAGUCUCUGAAAGCUUUUCGACAAAACAAAAAUCCAAAAUCUUUGUGAUAUCAAAAAGGAAAUAAAUUUCAAAACGCGCAUGGAAUUGGCUGGUUCAUUUGCCUGAAAGUUGGUUCAGAUAGAGAUGGAGGGAGGGGCGAGAGAGAUGGACGAAGAAUUGCUGGAGUUCGCGAGGGAGGCUUUCGAGGGGGAUGAAAUUGACAUGGACUACGAAUUGAUGCGCCAAAGGUUCUACGAUUUCACUAGGCCGGAAUCCUAUUGGGAGGCGGAGGAGGCGGAGGAAUGGUUCCGGUCCGCCGGAGGCUAUCACCCCACGCGUAAGCGAUUUCCAGAACAUUUGUUUGUUGGUUUCUUAUCAUUGAUAGACAUAUAUUGUGUGGCUGAGAUACUGCCACUUGUAUGCAGAUUAGAGAGUUAGUUAGAAAGUUAGUUAGGUAGUUUGUUUAGAAUAUUGAAAAGGGUAUAAAUACUGAUGUAUGUGGGAUUGCUUAGUAAGUAAGAAAAGUAAUAUACUGGAAGUGUUUGGUUUCUACUUCUCUCUCUAAAUUGCUUGAAUCUCUUCUUCUUCUCACUAUAUUUCUGUAGUUUAAUAUGGUAUCACUCGCCAUUAGAGCUUGAUCAGCUUCUUCGAUCCGAGUCUUCCGCAGCUCCAACACUUCGUCUUCCUCUGAAUUCUUGCUUCUUGUACGCAUUUCUUGAUUGCUUUGACUUCGUCUUCUCUGCUUUCUAGGGUUUAUUGUUUCUGGGUGCUCUGCAACUACGAUCUGGUUGCGUCUUCGUCUUCUUCUAAUAUUGCACUCCAGGUGUUUGAUCCAUUGUUUCAGUGAGUUUCGGCAACGAUGGUAACAGCUUCUCAACUUCAGCUUCUUCAAUCUCCGAUCACUGCUCUAGUUUCGUCGAUUUCUACAUCUGUGAAUGUGAAGUUGGAUGAUUCGAAUUAUCUCACUUGGCAUUUUCAAAUGCAAUUACUGCUUGAGAGUAAUGGAAUUCUAGGGUUUGUCGACGGCACGCAUCCCUGUCCUCCUCGACAUUCCUCACCAUCUGGAGAUUCUGGUGUUAAUUCCUCAAAUUCAACAACUUCUUCUGCUAGUGAUGAGUAUUUGAUUUGGAUAAUGCAUGAUAAAGCCCUGAUGCAGUUACUGACUGCUUCUUUGAGUCCAAUGGCUCUGUCGUGUGCUAUUGGUAGUACAAGCUCUCGGGAUCUCUGGAUUCGAUUGCAAGAACAAUUCUCCACAGUCUCCAAGACUAGCAUAUUUCAGAUGAAGUCUAAUCUUCAAACCAUUAAAAAGGGAUCUGAUUCUGUUGCUCAAUAUUUACAGAAAAUCAAAGAGGCCAGAGAUUAUCUUUCAGCUGCUGGGGUGUAUUUUGUUGAUGAAGAUAUUGUCAUUCUUGCGUUGAAUGGUUUGCCACCAGAGUAUAAUACAUUCAGAACAGUAAUAAGGGGACGUGAGAAUGUUAUAUCUCUGAAGGAGUUUAGGACACAAUUACUUGCUGAAGAAGCUAUUCUGGAAUCCACUGUUAAUGCACCUUUUAUGACUGCAAUGGUUGCUCAUAAUUUACCUCCGAGAGCACCUACUCAAUCCAAUUUUGUGGCUGGUGGUUUCAAGCAAUUCAAUGCUCCCAAAAACAAGGGGAAGGGCCGGUUUCAUCAAAAUAACAGGACUUUUUCAUCCAAGCCGUAUCUUCCUACUCAAACUCAUGUUCUCCAAAAUCCAAGUCCUGGUGUUCUUGGUUCUUUUCCUCAUCAGCAGCACUCCCCUCCUUCUGCUCCACAUCUCCUCUUAUGUCAACUUUGCAAUUGUGGUGGUCAUUCUGCGCCUUUCUGUCCAUCCAAUUCUUCUGCGAAAUCCCGAUGUCAGAUUUGUGGCAGGUUUAAUCACAGUACAUGGUUCUGUUUUUACAAUGACAAGGGUCCCAACUAUAUUGGUGCUGGCAAUGGUUCUUAUCCACAACCAGGGCAUCCAUAUUCUCAGCAGGCUUCUUAUUCACAGCAAGGGUAUUCAUCACAGUUUCCUGCUCCACAACAAAUUCAGUCUCAGGCACCAAUGCAGGCUUUUCAUACUAUGGUGCCACAACCCUCUCCUCCAGCAGCAUCUUCAUCUCCUUCCCAAGUUUGGAUCACUGAUUUCGGGGCAACGAAUCAUAUGACUGCUGAUCUUUCCAAUCUGUCUCUAGCUUUACCCUAUCCCACUAAUGAAGUCAUACAAACUGCCAAUGGUGAAGGUUUGCCUGUAUCUCACAUUGGUAGUACUGUUAUAAAACCAUCUCUCCAUCCUAUAAAAUUGAAUUCUGUGUUAUAUGUUCCCAAAUUAACACAGAAUCUUCUAUCUGUCCAUCGCAUAUGUUUGGAUAAUAAUUGUUGGCUUAUCUUUGAUGCCUUCUGUUUUUGGAUCCAGGACAAGGCCACAGGGAGGGUACUCUAUAAAAGAUUGUGCAGUAAUGGACUCUACCCACUCUCAUCUCUAGCCAAUGUGUCACCUGCUGGUUCUCAAAGCAUUGCUUCAAAUAAAGCCCUCCUUGGUCAGUUGGUUACUUCUUCUACUACCUGGCACAAUAGAUUAGGACAUCCAUCUAAUUCAGUUGUCUCUCUUAUGUUGCAUAAGUCCAAAGUUGCUUUUGCAAAAGACCCAAAUCCUGUUCUGUGUCCUAGUUGUCUUGAGGGUAAAUUCUGUAAACUUCCAUUUGCAUUAAGUGUCAAUAAAUCUGUAACUCCUUUUGAUGUAGUGCAUAGUGAUCUUUGGGGUCCUGCACCUUGUAAAUCUGUGGAUGGAUAUCGGUACUAUGUCACCUUCAUUGAUGAAUGUACCCGGUAUUCCUGGAUUUUCCCAUUGAUGAAUAAAUCCGAUCUUUGUGCCACUUUUAUUGCUUUUCAUGCUUAUGUUCUCACUCAAUUCUCUGCAAACAUUAAAAUUUUGCAAAGUGAUGGUGGUGGUGAGUACAUUAGCAAGUCACUUCAAUCUUUUCUUCUCCAAAAGGGCAUUUCUCAUCAAAAAUCCUGUCCUUAUACCCCUGAACAAAAUGGGAUGGCUGAACGUAAACACAGACACGUUAUUGAAACCACAAUUACUUUGUUGCAAACAGCUAAACUGCCUUCCCAGUUUUUGGUCCUUUGCAUGUCAAACUGCCAUUUAUCUCAUUAAUAGAAUGCCUACUCCCAUUCUCCAUAACCAGUCUCCUUUUGAAGCCUUAUAUGGUGCUGUUCCAGUGAUUCAUCACUUGCGAACGUUUGGUUGUGCUUGUUAUCAUUUCUUAAGACCUUACAAUGCUACCAAACUUCAAGCUAAGACUACAAAAUGUGUGUUUUUGGGAUAUGCAUCCAAAUUCAAGGGCUUCAUUUGUUUUGCAGUUUCUACACAUAAAUUCUUUGUGUCUAGACAUGUGGUAUUUAGUGAACAUGAGUUUCCUUAUAAUGACUUGUUGUCCCGAGCCACCACACCACAAUCUCCUACUUCUGUUCACAUUACUGACCUGUCAUCUCUUCCUGUCGUCCCCUCACAGCCUAUAGUCACUAUACCCUCCUCUCAUACUCCUAUUUCUCCUGAGUCUCCAUUACAUUCCCCUUCUGCUCCCGGGUCUUCAUCCUUCUCACCAACCACGUCUCAGUUUCUUGACCCACCACCCUCUCAUCAGUCCAUUACUGGUGCAGUUUCACCCACUGAUCACAACCCUGUGGUACUUGAACAUAGUCCUGUUACACUACAAGUGGUUCCUUCCAUUCCCUCCUUGAAUAUACACCCUAUGCAGACUAGGAGUAAGAGUGGUAUCAGCAAAAAGAAGGUUCUUUUGUCUGCUCUUGCUACUUCCAUGGAUGCUGAUUUGUCUAUGUGUGAACCCAAAACAUACAAAUCUGCUCUCAAGAGUCCUGUGUGGUUUCAAGCAAUGAAGGAAGAGAUCAGUGCUUUGCAUACUCAAGGAACAUGGAGUUUAGUUCCUUUACCUGCAAACAAGAAUUUAGUAGGGUGUAAAUGGAUUUUCAAACUCAAGAGACAUUCAGAUGGUUCAAUUGCACGCCAUAAAGCUCGAUUGGUUGCCAAGGGAUUUAGUCAAGAACCUGGGCUGGAUUACAGUGAGACCUUUAGUCCAGUUGUUAAACCCACCACAGUGAGGAUUGUUUUAGCACUUGCUGCUCACUUUAAUUGGUCACUUCGGCAACUAGAUGUCAAGAAUGCGUUUCUCCAUGGCAUAUUACAGGAUGAGGUGUAUAUGGAUCAGCCACCUGGCUUUGAGGAUCCCCAGAAUCCUACUUUGGUAUGUCAAUUGCAUAAGUCCCUAUAUGGCUUAAAACAGGCCCCGAGGGCAUGGAAUGACAGGUUUACUUCUUUUCUGCCUAAGUUGGGCUUCCAUAACACCUAUUCUGAUUCCUCCUUAUUUGUGAAACCUGUUGGUGCCAAUAUUGUGAUCUUAUUGCUAUAUGUCGAUGAUAUUAUCAUCACAGGAAGUGCAAUCACUGAGAUUCAGCAGGUCAUUGAUGCUUUAACUUCUGAAUUUGACAUCAAGGACUUAGGUCCUCUUCACUACUUCCUUGGCAUUCAGAUUUCCAAGACUGCCAAGGGGUUAUUUUUGUCCCAACAGAAAUAUGUACAGGAUCUCCUUGUCAAAACAGAAAUGCUUGACUCCAAGCCUUGUGACACACCCUGCUUACCUUCUACCAGGUUACUCAAGGAUGAUGGUGACCCUUAUCCUAAUCCUACUUUAUAUAGGAGUGUGGUGGGUGCUCUUCAAUAUCUAACGUUCACACGCCCUGAUAUAGCUUUCUCUGUGCAUCAAGUCUGUCAGUUUAUGCAAUAUCCUAUGGUCUCUCAUUUCACUGCAGUUAAAAGGAUCCUUCGGUAUUUGAAGGGCACUAUGUCCUGUGGCAUUACCUAUUCUCAAGGGGACUUGGCACUAUCUGCAUUUAGUGAUGCCGAUUGGGCUGGAGAUCCCAAUGAUCGGCGAUCUACAACAGGGUCUGUGGUGUUCCUCGGGCAUAAUCCUAUCUCAUGGUCCUCUAAGAAACAGCAGACAGUGUCCCGAUCUUCGACUGAGGCAGAGUAUCGUGCUUUAUCCUCCACUGCAGCAGAACUUGAUUGGAUUCAACAAAUCCUUGCUUUUCUGCAUUUUCCGAUGUCUGCUCCUCCUGUUUUAUACUGUGACAACCUUUCUGCUAUAGCCUUGUCUUUCAAUCCUGUCCAACAUCAACGGACCAAACACAUUGAAAUUGAUGUGCAUUUUGUUCGAGAGCGGGUUUCUCAGAACAAGCUUGUGGUGCAGUUUGUGUCCUCCAAGGAGCAGUUGCUGAUAUCUUGACCAAAGGCCUCAGUUCUUCAUUGUUCCUUUUUCAUUGUAACAAUCUCAUGUUAGGAUCAUCCAAACAUGAGCUUGAGGGAGGAUGAUAGACAUAUAUUGUGUGGCUGAGAUAUUGCCACUUGUAUGCAGAUUAGAGAGUUAGUUAGAAAGUUAGUUAGGUAGUUUGUUUAGAAUAUUGAAAAGGGUAUAAAUACUGAUGUAUGUGGGAUUGCUUAGUAAGUAAGAAAAGUAAUAUACUGGAAGUGUUUGGUUUCUACUUCUCUCUCUAAAUUGCUUGAAUCUCUUCUUCUUCUCACUAUAUUUAUGUAGUUUAAUAAUCAUGUCCCAAAAACAAUGAAUUUUGGAUCAUCUCCUAUGAUUACCACAUUAAUUAAUGAUCGUUUUCUGCUAAUAAAUUUCAACAUCUACAUGUUUAGUUCAUGCAUUUUAAAUAUGUUACGUUGUUUUAUAUGAACAGAUUAGAGAUUAAUUGAAUUAUAAAUAAUGUAAUUUGAUUAGAUUAAUUUGUUACCACUAACUUUGUAUUUUCUUUGUUUAAUUUGUUUCAAAUCCUUUAGCCUUCCUUGAAAAAUUGUUGAAUUGGCAAAAAGAGAAUCAUCCAGUACCUGUAAAAACCUCUGCGGAAUCGAAAGAUGUUGAAGUUACUAGAUGCAGUACCUUGAAAAAUUGCAUGGAAACGGAGAUCUCUGCAUUCGUAGACGAUAAUGACAAAGGUACAUUCGGCCUCAUCGACUCAUGUCUUAUUAGAUUUUCGACGCAAUGUGAUAGUUCGUUGUAAAAUUACCGCACUUGGAAAAUUUUAUGUCUGUUAUCUGAAUCGACUUUGCCUGAAUUAGUACAUGAAGUUGUAUCUCACUGUUAUGUUUUAUGUUCAUGUUUCGACAUGAUUAGAGUUUUCUAAUCACAUGGCUCAAGACACUCUGAAAACCAAACUGAAGUCCUCGGGUAAGUCACCACAUCUAUUAAGGAGUUCAACGUUAAUGAAAUUCACGGCGAGUCAGUUGGCCAAGCAAAAUCAGCACCGAGAGGUUCACUCCAAUCGGUUAUUAAGGAGGUGCUGUUAUUUUUCUCUGAUGUUUCUGUUGUCAUUAAUGUAUGUUUUGUUCUAAUUGUUUGGUGGUCUAGUUUUCUAACUUGUCCCAUUUUCCGACUCUUGAUUACAGAGUUGCGAAAAAGCUCGAGAAACUCGAUGAGAAAUCACAGAAUUCUCCGCCACCUACGAUGGGCUGCGAAAAUUCGAAGCAAUGUAGCAUAGCACUUUGCAAAUUCGGUAGUGCUAUCACACGUGCAUUCUUACUUCUCACUAACCCCUCUCAAUUUUUCGGCCAUUGGAAAAAUAAGUGUGUAAAUAACACUAUCCUACAAAUUACGCAACCGAAACUAUAACAGAAGAGCGAUUAUAACGUAUUAAAGUACCAUCUCACUAAAUUAUCCAACAAUGUUUCAGAGAUUAGGAACAAUCAUACUACUUUCAGCUCAGUCAUUCCAUCAAACGGCUGGUUCGCUGCAAUUCCACUUAUGCUCAAAUCACUACCGUCCGUUCCUACCAUCGAUUCCAUCAAAUUCUCCGAAACCCAUUUCUCAAUCAAAUCCAAACACAGCUGCAACCACACCCAGAAAAUUAAAAAGUCGAACUUUACAAAACUCCACUCCGAAAACAUAAAUUACACAAAACCCAACAAAAUCUCACCCUGUUCUCGGACAAUCCGACUUGAAUAACCCCAUCCGGAUUAUCCACCCUCUCGUACGGGUCCUCCGAAGCCCUAUCCAACCCGAUAUAGUACGGCGAGUCAUUGGGCUUCGCAAUCCAGCUCGCCCGGGAGGACAUCCGGACCCGGCCCAUGGACCCGCGGGUGGACAAGCUGGACCGCGACAGCGUUCUGGGGAGCUCCGCCAGGUUGGAGGAGGACUGGGAGGGGGAAGGUGGAUCGGGUUUGGAGGGUCGCCGUCGUUUUAGGUAGAGCUGGAGGCAGUAAUAGAGAGCACAUGGGAUUAGAGAGGCGAGGAUGAGGCCGCCUCUGCCUUGGACGACGCCUUGGAGUGGCACAAUCAGUCUCAUCGCGGUGACUCCGGUGGGCUUGUUUCGGGUUGGGUCGGAGUCGGGUUGGCCGGUCCAGGUCUCGAGCUGCAGUGGGAGGGUUUCGGGUUGGCCGUUGGUUGGCGUGGAGGGAUUGAGUGAGAUUCGAGAGCCCUGCGAGGGAAGUGUGUGUUUUGCAGUUUCGCUACCAGAAACUUUUGGUCUGGUUAUGAUUGGCACCUGCCAGUUUCCAUCUUUGCAUCUUUUGUUGGUGGCGUGCAAACACCAUCGUCGUAUAAUAACAAAAAAACGAUUUCAUUCUUUUUGGGGCUAAAGAUGUAAUUUUGAAUCAAAUGCUUUUCUUAUCAUAUUUUUUUAUACCGUAACCGUUAUCUAAUAAAGAUAAGAUACAUAUGUGUGUAGACCUUACUUUUAUUAGAGAAAUUGAGAAUUUUUACUGUGCUCAAAACAAUAGUUGUACCAUAUGUCCUGGUGCAAAUACUAAAUAUUAUUCUGUGUUUCGAGCACAUUAAAAAAUCUCUCGGAUCACAUUGUGUUUGGACCUGAUUUUACACAUCGGCCUAAGCAAUCGAGGCCGUUGAGUAAGCAUGGUUCUCAACCGUUGGAUAAGAAAGUUUAGAUAUUAUUGUUAAGAGAUAAUAUUAUGAUUUUUAAUCAUAAUAAUUAUUUUUUUAAUAAGUUAUCUCGGUUUUUAUGCAAAAUAAAUGGGAUGGAGGCAAGUAGAGUUGUGAUGGGGACGUGAGCUUUGAAUCAGGUUGGUUUGUUUUGCUGGACAUGCAUGCAUGGGAUGUAAAGAUAAUGAAGUGAUAGGGGAUAAAUCCAAACAUGCCAAAACGUGUAAUUUGCAAAAGAAUUGUGCAAUAUGGAGAUUCUAUCCUAAUGCAUGGUUUUUUGGGAUUGGUUUUGUGCACGUGGCAUGCGACAAUGGAGAUGAUGGUUUUGCAUGGUGAUGGCAAUAUGGGUUUAAAGGUUUCUCAUGUUUUUUAAUAAGAAGCCUAGGUGGGUUAGAUCUCUAGUGAGAUGUGAUAAAGCCUAGGUAGGCUUUAUUUAUCUGAAGGAUAUGUGCGGCGUAUUUGAUACGGGAUCAGGGUUUAUCUGAAGGAUAUGCGCAGCGUAUUUGAUACGGGAUCAAGGUCAAUUCCACAAAAUAGAGUUGCAGUUGGACUCUACAAAAUUAUUUGGCCGCGUCACACAACAUUUGCUCCUAUAAAUAUAGAGGUAGUGGCAACGGAAGAAGGACCCCUGCAAAUCAAUACAAAAUUGCCCUGCGCAAAUUCUCACAACUUGUGAUUUUUCUUUUCCCUUUUUUCGCUGACACAUCUUCCGUUGGCAUCAACAGCACUGUGGAAGCAACCGGUGAUAUCUUAAGUCGGCAUAGAUAGCUCUGUCACCGUAGAAUCAGUCGGUCUCGCAAUACUUUCCGUUGGCAUCAACAGCACUGCGGCGAGAACGACCGAUUACCUAUCCAAGUCUCGGUCGAGAAGGAUUUCUGAAUCCUUAUUGGUCGAGGUCAUCUCAUCAGCCUUCUCGGCGAAGUGAGGUGUUACGAGUUAUUACAUUCGGCACAUUGAGGGCCGAAUUUGAUAUUGAACUUCGUGAGAAUAGUAACCUUGUCUUCAGGUUCGAGAGCCCAAGAGGCCGAGACGUGUUCCUUUCUUGGCCGCAAUCGCAAGACGCAGAAGUCAGUAGCGCGACCCAACGCAACAUCAACAAAUUUACUCCUCGGCCGAGCUCGGCCGACGAGUUGGCACGCCCCGCAUUCACCGAAGGACGUAGUUAGCUUAUUAAUUACUCGGCCUGCGCGCCACGUAGGCUUGGUAGUUUUUAGGGUCAACAUUUUGGCACGCCCAGUGGGACCCAGUGCUAAACUACGAAGUUCACAUGAUCUAUCUCGAUCCGGCUUCAAGGGAUGAGUGUUAUCGCCUAUUAAAGGAGCAAAACAACUUCUCGAGAGUUUGAGAAGAAUUUCUGAAAGGCAAGAGGCCGGGGGGCAAAUCUCCACUCCGGCCACAACCAAUAUUCAGCCUAAGAAAAGUGAUAAUUUGGCCGAAGAACAAAGGCCACUUGUUGUUUCGGUAGAGACUGAAAAUAUAGUAGGCCUAGAAGAAAAAAUUCAAGUCCCUAAGCUAUAUACAAAAAUUGACUUGGAAAAAGAUUCGUCAAAAGAACGCUCCAGUGACGAACGAGGCCGAGAUAUUGGCCUAGCCCGAGAAACUACGCCAAUUGAUAUGAUUAUUGGCAAUAAAGCCGAUAUGGAGAAAUCCUGUUCGGCUAAGUUAUUUGAAUUAAAAGCCGAAAUUAUGCCUGGGGGGCAUAAUAAUUGUUCAGCGCAUUCGGCGGCCGAUAAAAAAUCUUUCGUCAAGUCAAACAUAUUUGGAGAUAGUAUUUUAUUCGGCCUUGCAAAAAUUCAAAGUGAAAGUUUUGAUACAAAAAGCCUUCGGCUUGGAAUAAAACAUCGUUGGCCUCCUCCAUUUAUAGUAGGGCCACUUUUGUUUUCUUUUGCUACAAAAUAAGAAUAAAUUAUUUUCUUAACCAUUCGGCUUUUUAGGCCGAUGCUUAAGAAAAUAAAGGGGGCAAUAAGAUGGUGCGGACUUAGAAAAACAAGAAAAAACAAGAUGGUGUACUCGGCAGACAAUUUUGGUCAAAUAAUGGUGUACUCGGCAGACAGUUUUGGUCGAAUGAAUUUGCGAGAGCAUGCAUGACAAUUGCUCGGCAGACAGUUUUGGUCAAAUGAAUUUAUGGGAGCAUGCAUGGUUGCGAAGCUUGCUCAAUUCAGUUUCGAUGUGCGGUUUAAUAUAUAUAUGUGUGUGUCAGAAUGACCCAUCACAUGAAACAGAAAGAGAGACGCAUACGGAAAAGACAAAGGAAAAUUCAUGAAGUUAUGGUAGGCUUCCACAUGGGCUAACCUUUUCGUUUGGUGAUGUAGUGAUCUGUGAAUUCCUAACAGCAUUAUUUGGCCGAAUACAAAUCUUUGGCCGAAUAAAACAUAGUUCGGCCGAAUAUAAUGGGUUAUAUAUAUAUAUAUAUAUAUAUAUAUAUAUAUAUAUAUAUAUAUAUAUAUAGGCUCUACAGCCAGUUCUUCUCGGUCUCAGCCCUAUUUACUCUCGACCCCAGUAUUUUUGACCGAUACUAGUGUUUUCUCGACCCCGGCAGUUGAGAGUUGGAGUAGUUCACGACACUGGCAGAGGGAGGUUAUGACAUUGGCAGAACAUAGGUGAUUUUAAUGCCGAGAGACAAAAUUUGUUUCGGCAAUACGACGAAGUGUUGUUGGCUACGAGCAAUUAAUUUCCUUAACCAUUCGGCUUACGAGCCGAAGCUCACGGAAACUAGGGGGCAAUGUUUGGACCUGAUUUUACACAUCGGCCUAAGCAAUCGAGGCCGUUGAGUAAGCAUGGUUCUCAACCGUUGGAUAAGAAAGUUUAGAUAUUAUUGUUAAGAGAUAAUAUUAUGAUUUUUAAUCAUAAUAAUUAUUUUUUUAAUAAGUUAUCUCGGUUUUUUAUGCAAAAUAAAUGGGAUGGAGGCAAGUAGAGUUGUGAUGGGGACGUGAGCUUUGAAUCAGGUUGGUUUGUUUUGCUGGACAUGCAUGCAUGGGAUGUAAAGAUAAUGAAGUGAUAGGGGAUAAAUCCAAACAUGCCAAAACGUGUAAUUUGCAAAAGAAUUGUGCAAUAUGGAGAUUCUAUCCUAAUGCAUGGUUUUUUGGGAUUGGUUUUGUGCACGUGGCAUGCGACAAUGGAGAUGAUGGUUUUGCAUGGUGAUGGCAAUAUGGGUUUAAAGGCUUCUCAUGUUUUUUAAUAAGAAGCCUAGGUGGGUUAUAUCUCUAGUGAGAUGUGAUAAAGCCUAGGUAGGCUUUAUUUAUCUGAAGGAUAUGUGCGGCGUAUUUGAUACGGGAUCAGGGUUUAUCUGAAGGAUAUGCGCAGCGUAUUUGAUACGGGAUCAAGGUCAAUUCCACAAAAUAGAGUUGCAGUUGGACUCUACAAAAUUAUUUGGCCGCGUCACACAACAUUUGCUCCUAUAAAUACAGAGGUAGUGGCAACGGAAGAAGGACCCCUGCAAAUCAAUACAAAAUUGCCCUGCGCAAAUUCUCACAACUUGUGAUUUUUCUUUUCCCUUUUUUCGCUGACACAUCUUCCGUUGGCAUCAACAGCACUGUGGAAGCAACCGGUGAUAUCUUAAGUCGGCAUAGAUAGCUCUGUCACCGUAGAAUCAGUCGGUCUCGCAAUACCUUCCAUUGGCAUCAACAGCACUGCGGCGAGAACGACCGAUUACCUAUCCAAGUCUCGGUCGAGAAGGAUUUCUGAAUCCUUAUUGGUCGAGGUCAUCUCAUCAGCCUUCUCGGCGAAGUGAGGUGUUACGAGUUAUUACAUUCGGCACAUUGAGGGCCGAAUUUGAUAUUGAACUUCGUGAGAAUAGUAACCUUGUCUUCAGGUUCGAGAGCCCAAGAGGCCGAGACGUGUUCCUUUCUCGGCCGCAAUCGCAAGACGCAGAAGUCAGUAGCGCGACCCAACGCAACAUCAACAAAUUUACUCCUCGGCCGAGCUCGGCCGACGAGUUGGCACGCCCCGCAUUCACCGAAGGACGUAGUUAGCUUAUUAAUUACUCGGCCUGCGCGCCACGUAGGCUUGGUAGUUUUUAGAGUCAACACAUUGUUAAUAAGCUCUUCAAUUCAAGUUUUCCUUUCUCACGGUAUCGAUAAUAUACCAAUGAAUCCACUUAUAUAUAUAUAUAUGUAUGUAUCUUCCCAAGUAGAGGGUAUAUAUAUAUGUGUGUGUGUGUAUCCUCCCAAGUAUACCAGCACUCCUUAAAUUAUUGAACAUUGAAUCAGAACAAGUCUGCAAUAUGAUGGAUUACACAUGUCAAUGGUUGAGACAAACGCUGACUCAUCACAUCACUCUUGUGUGUGUGUAUCUUCCCAAGUAUACCAUCACUCCAUAAAUGAUUGAACAUUGAAUCAGAACAACUCUGCAAUAUGAUGGAUUACACAUGUCAAUGGUUGAGACAAACGCUGGCUCAUCACAUCACUUUCAUAGAUUAGAGGCAGAUUUUCUGCCCUCCUAUUUGGAUCCCCUUCUCAUUCCAUUCUAUUUUAUGUUGUCACGAUUAAACCACGUCAAUAUUUUAUAUUGAUUUUUUUUAUAGAGAUAAUAAAACAAAAAGCAAUAUGAAUAUAAAAUGUUGACGUAACUUAACUGUGAUCACACAAAUAGAAGGGAAUGAGAAGGGUACCCAAACAGGAGGGCAGGCAACCUGCCUCCUCAUAGAUUCGGUCUCCUUGCAAUCUAGAAAGCCAUCUGCAACCUAAGCAGAAAUAUUCCACCACAAUUUAUUCGUGCUCUCUGUUGAUAGGGCGUUGAUAGGGCGUUUAGAGCAGUUGCCAAGUUGGAUUUCAAAUCUUCAACACCUCGUCAUAUUGGGUAUUUGUUGGUCAAGGUUGAGAGAUUCCCCACUAAAAGCCCUUCAAAAUCUACCUAAUCUGUUGGAGCUAUUUUUGAAAAUCAAUGCAUAUGAUGGUGUGCAGCUGCAUCUUGAGGAAGGAGGAUUUCAGAAGCUGAGGCAUCUGGAACUCAAGGACAUGGAGGGACAAAAUUCAUUGAUCAUAGACAAUGGGGUUAUGCCUCUUCUCCAAGAGUUUCACAUUGGACCUUCCCCACAACUGAAGGAGGUGCCCUCUGGCAUCCACCAUCUCCGAAAGCUGAGAUAUCUUGUUUUCUUUGACAUGCCAAAGGAGUUUGAACGACAUAUGGAUCCAAAUAAUAGACUGCAACAUUGGAUUGUUGAACAUAUACAAGAUGUCCGCUUUAGUUACAAGUUCGGACCAAGAUGGGGGUGUAUACGAAACUCACGCCCGACGUGAUUCCAACUUUUCUUUUUGGUAGAAGAUUCCAACUUGUGAAACCAAGCAUGGGAAUGGAAUGGUCUCUUUUUGUACAGUUUUUGGUUAGAGAGGUUUAGGGGUUGUUAAGAGUUGGUUGUUAGCUCUGGUAUCCUAGUUUCUCUUGCAGGUUGACUGGGAGUGGCUCUUUCUCUUCUGUUUUCUUUGUGUCGUCGAGUCUAGUGAUAUUUCUAGCAUUUUCCUUAUAAACUGUUUUUUUUAUUUAUAAAAAUUGAAAAAUAAAAAGGUAUCUUCUUCUCAAAUUCAGAAUGUUCAAGUGACCUAAUAAAAUUUCAUUGAACUUUAGGCGAAUGAAUCAAGUUUUUACUAGAGAUAAGUGUUAAUCUACAAUGGCUAUUUAUUCAAAAAGUUUUUUAGUAGUUUAAAAUCAUCAAACUAACUUUUUUUUUUGAAUGUGUUAAAAUUGGUUACCUGCAGAUAAUGAGUUCUUAACAUGUGAUUCAAUACCGACCCAAUUAGUUAAUGUGUAGAUUUGAAAUCUAUUAUUUUCGUACCAUUUCGAAUCGAGUUAACAGAUCGUAUAAGAAAUUGUCAGAUCUAACUUAAAUUUGAAAGGCUUGAUGACCGUUGGCAGGCCUACCAAAUAUAAAAUGGUUGUUGUUUGUUUGUUAAUUUAUAAAAACUUAAAAAGAGAGUUGGGUAGGUAUCGUAAUGACGCAAAGCCAGAGGCAACCACCUCUCUAAUUCGAGUUUUCCUUUCUCACUGUACCAACACGAGCAAAUUAAUCCCCUCAUAUAUCAUCGCAACUCCACGGUAUAUAAUAUAGCAACACUCCUUAAAUUAUUGAAAAUUGAAUCAGAACAAGUCCGCAAUAUGAUAUGAUGGAUUACCAAAGUCAAUGGAUGAACCAAACGCUGCCUUAUCACAUCGCUUUCAUAUUUUCAAUCUCCUUGCAAUCCAGAAAGUCCUCUGUAACCUAACCAGAAAUAUUCCACACGGAAGUAUUCAUAUAGAGAUUUUUCUCCAUCAAUUAUAGAUACUGUCUGCCAGAAAAGGCAGGAUACAAAAUGGCAGAAUCAGUUGUAUGCUUUGUGAUCGAUAAGUUAAUUUCACUACUCGUCACCACAGAAGCGAAACUUUCAAGAGACGUGCGUGCUGAAGUUGGUUUUCUCAGAGAUGAACUUGAAAGCAUCCGAUCAUUCCUCAAGGAUGCAGACGCUAAAGCAGCAGCAGCAGCAGCAGAAGGAGACAUGGUGACUGACAGUGCCAAAACUUGGGUCAAACAAGUAAGGGAAGCAGCUUUUUACAUUGAAGAUGUCAUCGAUGAGUAUUUGCUUCGUGUCACAAGGCACCAUCAAGACCGCGGAUUCGUUCGCUUUGUCCACAAAGUUGUUUGGUUUCUGAAGAAAAUGAAACCACAGGAUGAGAUAGCCUCAAAAAUAGAGGGCAUGAGAGCAUUGGUUAGUGAAAUCAAGGCUAGACAUGAAAGAUAUGGGCUUAGUUCAAUUGAUCAGCAAGGUCAAAGCAGUGAAGAAAUUGUUGUUUCGUGGCAUGACCCUCGAGUGGCUUCCCUUUUCAUCGAGGAAGCUGAAGUUGUUGGUGUGGAAUCUGCCAGAGAUGAGCUGAUUAGUUGGUUGGUAGGAAAAGCAUCAAGAGGCGCAUACCGUGAAGUAAUAUCAGUGGUUGGCAUGGGAGGACUUGGUAAGACCACUCUCGCCAAGAAAGUCUAUGACAACCAAAGGGUGAUCGAACACUUCGAUUGCCAUGCUUGGAUUACAGUGUCUCAGACGUACAAGGUGGAGGAUCUUCUGAGGCAGAUGGUAAUGCAAUUCUACAAGGCCAGGAAGGAAUAUACCCCGGAGGGCAUUGACACAAUGGAAAAAGAAUCUUUAAUUAGAAAAUCAAGAGAAUUACUGCAGCAAAAGAGGUACGUGAUUGUGUUUGAUGAUGUAUGGAAAGUAGAAUUUUGGGAGGCGAUAGAACAUGCUUUGCUGGAUAAUAAAGGGGGAAGAAUAGUGAUCACCACGAGGAUUAAAGAUGUUGCUGAUUUUUGCAAAAAGUCUUCUUAUGUUCAUAUUUACCGUUUGCAACCUCUGCCUCCAAUCAAGGCAUGGGAAUUGUUUUGUAGAAGGGCAUUUCAAUACGAAUUGGAGGGGAACUGCCCUGCAGAUUUGAAAGAUUUGUCUCUUGAAUUCGUUAGAAAGUGCGAAGGAUUGCCUUUGGCAAUUGUUUCCAUAGGUGGUCUGCUGUCAACAAAAGUUAAAGUUGUGUCUGAAUGGCAGAAGUUAUACGAUAGCUUAAGUUCAGAGUUAGAAAGCAAUCCCCACCUUACAAGCCUCACAAGAAUUCUAUCCUUCAGCUAUCAUCAUCUACCGUAUCACCUCAAAUCAUGUGUCUUAUACUUUGGCAUCUUUCCCGAGGACUACUCAAUUAGUUGCAUAAGACUAGCUCGGUUGUGGAUCGCUGAAGGCUUUGUGAAACCGAAGAGGGGCAAGACACUAGAAGAGGUUGCAGAGGAAUACUUGACUGAACUGAUACAUAGAAGCCUGGUGCAAGUGUCACAGGUUUGGAUCGAUGGGAAAGCUAAAAGCUGUCGAGUCCAUGAUCUGAUGCGCGAAGUGCUCCUUAGAAAAGCGGUGGAUUCAAAUUUCUGUCAUGUGUUAUCAGAAAAUGAGUCAACAAUAAAGCCAAUAACUCGACGCCUCUUGAUAGACAGCAUGCCCUAUGAUGCCUUGGGAAUAAUUGAACAAUCUCGCAUUCGUUCUUUAUUUACUUUCAACCAAGAACAAUGGCCCGAGUCUUUUCUCAGUACACUGAGUGGAAACUUUAAACUUAUGAAAAUAUUGGAUUUUGGAGAUGCUCCCCUGAAUCAUCUUCCGAAGUAUGUGGGAGAUUUGCAUCUCUUGAAGUACUUAAGCCUAAGGAAUACAAAGGUGAAGUUGCUUCCAGAGUCCAUAUGUAAUCUGCAAAACUUAGAAACACUGGAUUUAAAACAGUCUCUGGUAUAUGAAAUACCAGCCAAGAUCAAUAAGCUUCUAAGGUUGCGACAUCUUUUGGCCCAUUAUACUGACUCCAGCUCAAGGUUCAGGAUGAUCAGUAACGAACGAGGAGUGAAAAUACAUGAUGGUAUUGGAUGCUUACAAGCUUUACAACAGUUAUACCAUGUGGAAACAAAUCAUGGCGGAAUCAACCUAAUCAAAGCAUUGGAAAAGUUGAGGCAGCUGCGAAAGUUGGGCCUGAAAAACUUGAAACGUGAAUAUGGACGAGCUCUAUGUGCUUCGAUUGAAAAGAUGAACCACCUUGAAUCUCUAGAAGUAAGCACAAUAAGCGAAGAUGAAGUCCUUGACCUGCAAUCCAUUUCAACUCCACCCGAAUCUAUUCGGUUUCUCUACUUGAAGGGGCCUCUAGAGAAGUUGCCAAGUUGGAUUCCAAAGCUUCAACGACUUGUCAGGCUACGAAUUUUUUGGUCAAGGUUGACAGAUGCCCCACUGAAAGCUCUUCAAAACCUUCCUAAUUUGGUAGAGCUUGGGUUCUCAUUCAACGCAUAUGAUGGUGUGCAACUGCAUUUUGAGGGAGGCUUUAAGGAACUCAGGGUGUUAAAACUCAAGCACUUGCCCAGACUAAACUCAUUGAUCAUAGACAAUGGGGCUAUGCCUCUUCUCCGAGAGCUACAAAUUGGGCCUUCCCCACAACUGAAGGAGGUGCCCUCUGGCAUCCAGCACCUGAGAAAUCUAAGCUCUCUUAGAUUUGUUGACAUGCCAAAAGAGUUCCGACAACAUGGAUCCAAAUAAUGGCCAACAUUAUUGGAUUGUCGAACAUAUACAAGAUGUUCUUUUUAGUUACAAGUUGGGACAAAGAUGCGAUGUAUAUGAAACUCACGCCCUGCGUGAUUCCAACCUGUGAAAGCAUAUCUACAUGUGAGUUUUAAUCCCAGAACACCCCAUAUAACUCGCAAGGCUUAAAUGAAAUCGCCAAAUGUCAUUGUUGACACGAUCUGUGAUAUUCUUUAGUAUUAUCAACUGUUAUAGAUGUUUGCUUUGUAUGAAAACAAAAAAUAAAAACUUCAUUCAUGUUUGUGAGGAUUUGAUUGUGUUUGAGCAGGCAACAUUGAUUAUUUCUCACAACCCAGACAAGUGUUUGGCUAAUUAUUUCUCACACUAUCUAAUCAAAUGAAGGGCUAGGAGUUUCAGUUUGAGUGACGGUCCUAAAUCAUUUCUUUCGUUCCAGACAUGUUUCUGAAUUUGAAGCAUUAAACUUUUACUCAGCACACAAGCAUUGUGCGUAAGAUUUUUUUCAGUUGAAAGGCUUCACGGCAAGCCUACCACAGGUCUCCGAGGAUAAUCAUAGGAAACUUGCGAGGUUGAAUAUCAUUUGCAACCCAGCUAGCAGAAACAAAAGAGUCCCUUCUCCAGUACCAAGCUUAGCUAGAAGUCGAGGUUUUUGCCACAUGAAUUAAUUACGUAAAAUGAAACAAAUUAAAACUGAAUUAUGCUUGGUUAGUGAUGGAUGGCAGAUUCAAAUCAAAGAGAAGCAGUUAUAUAUGUUAAUGGAAGAUCAGAGCAAAACGCAUGGCUUAAACUUCAUUGUUUUACAUCUGCAACCGUAUCAGAAAGAACACAAAAGUAAGCAUACAUAAAGUGUGUUAAUACCUGAUUGAAUAAGUUAAUGAAAAAGUAGCAGAAGCAGUUGUAUUCUUUGUGAUUGAUAAGUCUCUACUCAUCUACUGUACAGAAGCAAAACUUCCAAGAGAUGUAUGAUAGAGAUUUUAACACAUGUUCAGGAAUUGGUAUAAACAAUUUACGAGUUUUUGAAUUAUUUAACUUAAUUAGCUCUAAGAACUAUGUUGGAGCAGUUAUGUUUUUAUUUAAUAUAUGUAUAUAUAUAUAUUUAUGAUUUGUUUUAUUAGAAACAUUAAAUAUAUAUAACUGUUAUUAGGAGUAAUUUUUAUUUGUAAAUAUAUUGGAGACAUUGUCAAUUAGGAGUAAUUUCCCUUCUUAAUUAUAUAGGAGACGUGAGGAAGUUUAUUACUUCAACAAAUUUGAUAUGCCUUCUCUAAAUAGAGUAGAAGAUCACGUCCACCUCCAUAUAUAAUCUAUCCGUUUUGAUUUUUACGUUUUGGUUUAUUCCGGAUUUCUAGUCCUUAAUUUAUAAAUCCUUCAACCUCUAUUUCUUUACUUUGUAUAUAAAUACAAGUCCUGAGUAUCGAUAAAAAAAAGAUAUAUAUAUAUAUAUAUAUAUAUAUAUAUAUAUAUAUAGAGAGAGAGAGAGAGAGAGAGAACUAUAAGCUGUUAAAUAAAUAAUUUUUGAAAUUAAGUUUUGAGAGCAACAUAUUGAAAGGGUGCAAGUUUGAAGGUUCUUCCAUUGUGCAAGGAAGAACCUUAUCAGAAGAAGGUUAUAGGCUGUUUUAUCCUGGGGACGACAUAGUGUUUGUGAACUGCUUGCACACUUUGGGCAGAGCUGCGAUAAAGAGAGCGACUUAGUCUGCGACUCAUCCUAAGAAUCAUUCAUCACUCAAGGCUUUUACAUUUUCCGGGUAACUUCAUUCAUUUCUAUUUCAGUUUUCAACAAACUACAUUAAUUUGACAAAACUAAAUUCUAUUGUACGUGACUUAAACAAAUAUAUCAAAUGAGAAUUGGCUUACAGAAAUAGUGAUUUAACUAAACAAAACAAGUAAAUGUAGAAACUUAAGAUAAUAGAAAUAAUUGAAGAAAAUUAGAUUGACAAGGCACUAGAGUUCGACCUUUACCAACAACACUCCUACGUAGCUCUUCCAAUUGCUUAAGUAAUCGAAAACACACAUGCUUUGAAGGUUGAGUUUUUCCUUAUGUAGUUUUACUUGUGACAUUCAAGCUAAAACGCAUACCACUACAUGCAAUUCAUCCAUGACAUUGAGAUUAAAUAUAAACAUGAGUGAUUUAUUAAUCUUGGUGAAAAUCCUUUUAAUAAACCAUGUAAUCCCUAAAAGUAUGAUAUUUACCUUAGGAGAAAUUACAAUCCUCAAUCACAAGAAGCAUAACCAAUUUUAACGUGACAUUCGUUCAAAAUUACAUCCGAUGACUGUUCUAAGCAUCCUAAUGGUGAUCAAGUAUCAAGGCACAUAUAUAGUUUAAUUUAAUGAUUGAAAAUAUCAAAGCAAACAUUUAAUAAUACUUAAGCAAUUAAAAGAGAAAUCUACGUAUUCAUGUUGAGGCUCAUGGCUUCACUCUAGUGAAAGAAAAUUAAUUAUACAUACUUAUCUAAAAACAUAAGAAAUUAUCCAUAAAAAAUCAAGGAAAGAAUACAACCUUUAGGCCAUCUCCAACCGAUGGCUGGCCAGAGGACUCGUUUAAGCCCUUUGGCCCUCCAAGAUUCUCCAAGAUAUUAAUAUUUUAAUGAACAGUACAAGGCCAUAUUUGCCUCCGUCUCCAACCGAGGACCAGAGGGCUCGUUUUAGCCCUUUCACAAAAAACCGUCUCCAACCGAGGGUCAAAGGGCUAUAGGGCCAAACAUAAUUUAUUAUUUAAAAACUACAACUUAAACGUUUUUAAAUGUUUUUAAAAAUGUUGUUUAAGUUUCAUGUUGUAUAAUUUUUAUGUUGCUUAAUGUUAUUUAAUGUUGUUUCAUGUUACUUAAUUUAAUUUAAUGUUGUAUAAUAACUUAGGAAGUUAUAGGAAAAAAAUAGAAUUUAAAAAAAAUAUGAAACAAAUUUUGUGAAAUAGAAGUUAUAGGAAAAAAAAAGAAUUUAAAAAAAAUAUGAAAUAAAUUUUGUGAAAUAGAAGUUAUAGGAGAAAAUAGAAGUUAUAUCAAAAAUUUUGUAAAUAAAAAAAAUAAUAAAACUGUAAAAUAAAAAAACAAAUGCAACAGCUAGCCGUUGCAUUUGAAUUUUUUCUUAAAAAAUCAUGUCGGUUAUAACCGACAGGAAUACAUGCUAUUAUUUAAUAUAAAUGUAUUACUGUCGGUUUAUUUAGUAUAAAUGUAUUACAUAACCGACAGUAAUACAUUUAUAUUAAAUAAAAGCAUGUAUUUCUGUCAGUUAUAACCGACAGAAAUAACAAAACAUUAAAAAAAAUAGCCAGCCCUCUCCGAUUCCGUAGGACCCUCCCAGAUUCCAAAGCCCUCUGGCCUAACCCUCAGUUGGAGACGGUUUUCAGGUUAUUUUCGGUCCUCUGGCCCUCUGAACCUUUUGUUGGAGAUGACCUUAUUUACAAGAAUUAUUCCUGCUGAGCUGCUUCCACCCUCCUCUCUCUGCCUUUGCUCUCUUCUUCUACUGUGCCUUCCGUCCGUCUCCCUGCUUCUCUUCUGUUUUUCCUCGUCUGUUUCGUGCCCUUCCUUCAACCAAAUGCAGCUAUCUGCUUUUUCCCGGCCACAAAGGCCCAGUGGAAGACAAGUCAAAUUUCACUUCGGUAGUGGGAUUGGCAAGGCAAAGCACAAAGUGCCCGUUCUUUUUCUUUUUUCUCCACUUGCCGUGUCCCAGCUUGGAAAAUUCCAAAAACGUUCGGUCAUUCCCAGUUGCCAAAGCAGGUUGGAGCUUUUGAACUCUUCUUCCGCUUUCUGCGCACACCCACUACCUCACAAUUACAACUUUAUUAGCCAAUCUAAUAUUAUAUCUUUAAUUGCUUACCAUGUCCUCUUCCAAUUGACAAGUGACACAAAGUUUCUAUGGAAAUUAAUAAAAAAUGUUUGAAAAUUUUGACUUUUAACGAAAAUAACACAAAUGUGUUGUAAGUGAAUAAUAUCCAAUAUUGACUUUUUAAAGUAAAAAGGAAAAUUUUGAAAUAGGUCCAGUUUUAUAGGCCUACUUUUAAAAUAGAUUCAAUUUUUAGUGACUUUUAACUUUUGAAAUAAGUCAAAUUUUUUAUUACUUUGAACCCAUAUCAAAAUACCUCAAGUAAAAAUGUGAUUUUCCAUUAAAAUGAACCGUACCAAAAGUGUUUUGUUGAAACUUACUUCUUAUUUUUAGAACUCAUAGAGGAGGAAAAGGAGAGAGAGUGGCGGAAAGAAAAUGUGGAAAUAAUUUCCACAAUUAGUUUUCUAUGUUUGCACACUUCCAAUAAUUUUCAUCACUCAAUUCUCACAUCAAGGGAAACAUAAUCAUGAUCACAAACAUAAUCAUGAAGUUUCCUCAUCAUUUUAUUUAUUUAUUUAGCCGAAAGCUGGUCCUAGAAACACAACAUGGCAAAAAUAUCACAAAUACUUAAAACUUUCAACUAAACUAAACAAGAAAACAAAAAUAAAAAGGCGAAAUAUAUAGAAAAAAUAUUGGUUCAUCAACAUACGCACUAAAGUUGCUUUCAUCUAUAAAAUCUAAGAGCUCUUAGAUAUAUUAACAUGCCGAAACAAUUCAUCGAGAUGUGAAUCCGAAAAAUGGCCAGUGUUAUUGGACUGUUGAGCUUAUACGAACGACAUGUUAUUUGUAUUUACAAGCGUGGGACGAGAUGCUGCACACACGAGAUUCACAACCUGCAUGAUUCCAGCUUGUGAAGGCGCACAGGCGAGUCCUACUUAACACCAGAAUACCCUGCACCCUGCACUUCAGGAUGCCGCAGUGAAAUGAUCAAAUUUCAUUUUUUUUCCCUAGCUGCCAUCACUUUAUUCUUCUAGGAGAUGCGACGAUUGGUGAGGACUUAUGUGGAACAGAUUUAUUGUAAACGUGGCAUCCCAAUUUAAUAAUAUAAUGCCACAUGACAUUGUCUUAUUGAACUGAGGCGCAACAGUGAUGGUGAACUCAUUUCAUGUAAGUUGCUAUUAUUGUUGGGUGUCCUUACGCAAAUUUUUCAAGACAAGGUGGAUUUUUAACCAAAGAUAGUUGUGUGGAAGCAUGAAAUAUGAAACCAAUAAGCUAAUACAACAAAAUAUGACAAGACAAAUAAUCCAAAUUAACACAAGGAUUUAUACUGGUUCGACGUAAGCCUACGUCCAGUUCAAAGACGGCGAGAAAAUUCGAUUAAUUGUUAGAUCCCAUAUCGCUGUGAGGAGUGGAUCCUUUAUGCCUUAUAUGUACAUGCCCACCUCUAUAUAGCACGAAAUCUUUUGGGAGCUCACUGACUUCGGGUUCCGUAGGAACUCCGAAGUUAAGCGAGAAAGGGGCUAUAGUAUUCCCAGGAUGGGUGACCUACUGGAAGUUCUACUCGCGUAAGUUCUCAUAAACAAAACCGUAAGGGCGUGAUCGAAGCCCAAAAUGAACAAUAUCGUACUACGGCGGAAUCGAGCUCGGGAUGUGAUGGAGCCCAGGUCGAGGUCACUAAUAGUCAAAAUGAAAAUUACAAAUUUAGUUCAACUCUCAAAUCCCAAAAUCCACAUACACCCAAUAACUCUCAUUCAUACAAAGAACAAAUGGAGAAUAUGGAAACACAUACCUAAUCCCUUCUCCCAAAAGCCAGAAAAAUUGUAGCACCAAUAUCUUGGAUUGAUUGAUUACAAACAAAGGGAGUUACAAACAAAAGGGAGAGUGCAACAGCUCUUCUUCAAAUGGGAGAGCCGAAUGCUCUCUCCUCUACUCACCUUCUUUCUGCUGCUUCCACCCUCACACUCUACCGCUCUCCUCUACUUAUCUCUCUGCAAGAUCCAGCAAGGAAGAUAAAGAGCACAACGAUGAAAGCAACAUUUUCUUCUCCGCCAACCAAAAAUGCCGAAAGAAAAAAAGGGAGGCAGAUUCUCUGCCCUCCCACUUCCCAUGCCCUCUUGUUUGUGUGGUCACGGUUAAGCAACGUCAAUAUUUUAUAUUACUAUUUCUUUUUGUCUUAUUAUCUCUAUAAAAAAAAUAAUAUAAAAUGUUGACGUGCCUUAACCGUGACCACACAAAAUAGAAGGGCACGGGAAGUGGGAGGGCAGAGAAUCUGCCUCCGAAAAAAAAAUCAACCUUUUCUUUUUUGUUCUACAAACAUCAUCAUUAUGCCUCCUCAUUAUGUUCCCACAUCAUUAUAUCCCCUUUUUCUUAUUCUAUUUUUCUUGCUUUCGGCUUCUUUAACAAAUGCAGCAAUUGCUGCCAAUUAAAACAAACGAAAACUAAUGAAAAUAAUUUGAAAAUUUUGAGUUUUAACGAAAAUAACAAAAUAAAAAGUAAAGUAAAUGGUACUAGAAUUAACCUUUUAAUGUAAAAAUGUAAUUUUUCGUUAACGUAAACAGUAUCGGAAGUUUUUUUGUUAAAAUUCUCAAACAAAGGAAAACCACCCGUGUCUUUCACAUGGACCAAAUAAACAAAACAACUUAAUGGGCAAUUGGGUCAAUAAGUGGCCCACCACAAUUUGGCACUAGAUUCUCACCUUCGACAAAGUGAAAACAAAACCAUUGGAAAAGCAAUAGCCCAUGUCUCAAGUUAAUAAGAAAGGUAUCUAUUUGCUUCAAUGUUUCUGACUCUCUUGAUACCAAAGCCAUCUGCUUCCCAUCGUUCAUAUUUCUUCCUGAUUCUUGCAUCCUCUUCUUUUUCAGAUUUCGUUUCUCUACCUUUGCAUCUCAAUUUUCUCUGUUUUUCUAAACAACUGCUUGCUCACCCAAACCGAAAGGCACAUUGCUUGGGGUUGUGGGGUUGCACAUAUUAUAUGGCAGAACAGAUUGUAUGCUUUGUGAUCGACAAGUUGAUUCAACUAUUCAUCACUACAGAAGCAAACCUUUCGAGAAAUGCACGUAUUGAAGUUGGUUUCAUCAAAGAUGAACUCGAGAGCAUCCGAUCAUUCCUCAAGGAAGCAGAUGCUAAGGCUGCAGCAGCAGAUGGAGAGACUAUGAACGACGGUGUUAAAACUUGGGUCAAUCAAGUAAGAGAAGCAGCCUUUUACAUUGAAGAUGUCAUCGAUGAAUAUUUGCUCCACAUCAUACAGCAUCAUCAACACCAUGGAUUCAUUCGUUUUUUCCAUAACAUAAUCCGGUUGGUUCAAAAAAUGAGAUCACAGGAUGGGAUAGUUUCGAAAGUUGACGGUAUAAAAAAAUUGGUUCGUGAAAUCAAGGAUAGAAGUGAAAGAUAUGGAUUCAAAUCUAUUGAUCAGCAAGGGCAGAGCAGUGUAGAAAAGACUCUACCGUCGAACGACCCUCGAGUGGCUUCCCUUUUCAUUGAGGAAGCUGAAAUUGUGGGGAUUGAAUCUGCCAGAGAUGAGCUAACUCGUUUGUUGGUAGAAGGAGCGCCAAGACGUGAAGUGAUAUCAGUGGUUGGCAUGGGAGGACUUGGGAAAACCACUCUUGCCAAGAAAGUGUAUGACCAGCCGAAGGUGAUGGCACACUUUGAUUGCUAUGCUUGGAUUACAGUGUCCCAGUCGUACAGGGUUGAGGAUCUUCUGAGGACGGUAAUAAAAAAGUUCUACAGUUCAAGGAAGGAGCGUUUCCCAGAGGAAAUUGACACAAUGGAUGAGGAGUCCCUGAUUAGCACAUCUAGAGAGUAUUUGCAGCAAAAGAGGUACAUUGUUGUGUUUGAUGAUGUGUGGAAAGUAGAUUUUUGGGGGGCAAUAGAACAUGCUUUACCCGAUAGUAAAGGCGGACGAAUAAUUAUCACUACACGGAUUCAAGAUGUUGCCAACUUUUGCAAAAGAUCUUGUUUUGUUCAUGUUCAUCACUUGCAGCAUCUGCCUCCAAACAAGGCAUGGGAAUUGUUUGUAGGAAGGCAUUUCAGUUUGAAUUGGAGGGAAAGUGUCCUGAAGAGUUGGAAGAGUUGUCUCUUAACAUCGUCAAAAGAUGCGAAGGACUACCUUUGGCAAUUGUUUCCGUAGGUGGUCUGCUGUCAACCAAAGCUAAAGUUGUGUCUGAAUGGCAGAAGUUAUACAAUAGCUUAAGUUCAGAGUUAGAAAGAAAUCCCCACCUUACAAGCCUCACAAGAAUCCUAUCCCUCAGCUAUCACCAUCUACCGUAUUACCUCAAAUCGUGUGUAUUAUACUUUGGCAUCUUUCCCGAGGAUUACUCAGUUAAUUGCAUAAGAUUAGUUCGGUUGUGGAUCGCUGAAGGCUUUGUGAAACCGAGGAGGGGCAAGACACUAGAAGAGGUUGGAGAGGAAUACUUGAUGGAGCUAAUUCACAGAAGCCUGGUUCAAGUUUCAGAAGUUUACAUUGAUGGAAAAGCUCGAGCUUGUAGAGUUCAUGAUCUAUUGCACGACGUCCUCCUUAAAAAGGGGCUGGAUUCAAGCUUCUGUCAUGUGUUAUCAAAAGACGAGUCGACUUUUAAACCAACAACUCGACGUCUCUCAUUGAACAUCAGUCCCUCUUGGGCCCUGGGAAGCAUUACACAAUCUCAUAUUCGUUCCGUAUUUACUUUCAACCUAGAAGAAUGGCCCGAGUCUUUUCUCGAUACAUUGAGUGGAAACAUUAAACUUGUGAAAGUAUUGGAUUUCACGGAUGCUCCAAUCAAUCAACUUCCUAAAUAUGUGGGUGAUUUGUAUCUCUUGACGUACUUAAGCCUGAGGAAUACAAAGGUGAAGUUGCUUCCAGACUCCAUAGGCAAUCUACAAAACUUGGAAACCCUGGAUCUAAAACAGUCCUUGGUGUAUGAAAUACCAACCAAGAUCAAUAAGCUUGUUAAGCUGCGGCAUCUUUUGGCCUACCAUCGUGACUACAACUGCGACGUGCGUUUGUUCUUGAAUAUGGAAAAAGAAGUGAAGAUACAUGAAGGUAUUGGAUGCUUACAGCUUUGCAAAAACUGUCCUAUGUGGAGGCGAAUCAUGGAGGGAUCAGGCUAAUCAAAGAACUGGGAAAGUUAAGACAGCUACGGAAGUUAGGCCUAAAAAACUUGAAAAGUGAAGAUGGAAGGGCUGUGUGUGCUUCUAUUGAAAAGAUGAACCACCUUGAAUCUCUACUUUUAACUGCAAUAAAUGAAGAUGAAGUCCUUGAUCUAGAAUCUAUUUCAACUCCACCAGAAUUUCUUCGUUCUCUCUGCUUGAUAGGGCGUUUAGAGCAGUUGCCAGGUUGGAUUUCAAAUCUUCAACACAUAGUCAAGAUAACCAUUUAUUGGUCAAGGUUGAGAGAUUCCCCACUAAAAGCCCUUCAAAAUCUACCUAAUCUGUUGAAGCUAACUUUGGGUAGGAAUGCAUAUGAUGGUGUGCAGCUGCAUUUUGAGGAAGGAGGAUUUCAGAAACUUAGGGAGCUAAGGCAAAGAUGGUGGGACUAAAUUCGUUGAUCAUAGACAAUGGUGUCAUGCCUUUUCUCCAAGAGUUUCACAUUCGACCUUCCCCACAACUGAAGGAGGUGCCCUCUGGCAUCCACCAUCUCCGGAAUCUGACAACUCUUGAUUUCUAUGACAUGCCAAAGGAGUUUGCGCGACAGAUGGAUCCAGAAAAUGGCCAACAUUAUUGGAUUGUUGAACAUGUACAAAAUGUUCGUUUUAUUUACAAGGUCGGACCAAGUUGGGGUGAAUAUGAAACUCACGUCCUGCGCGAUUCCAACUUUUCUCUUUGGUCGAAUGCUUGAAUCCAACUUGUGAGGGGCUCUUGCAGGUUGACUGGGAGGGGCUCUUGCAUGUUUUGGUUAAGAGUUGGUUGUCAGCUCUGGUAUCCUAGUUUCUCUUGCUGGUUGGCUGGGAGGGGCUCUAUCUCUUCUGUUUUCUUUGUGUCGUCCAGUCGUAUUCCUAGCAUUUUCCUUGUAAUUUUAUUGGUGGUUGCAAUAAAAAUAUCCUUUCUAAUUAAUUUUCUCUAGGAGAAUGAUAAACCGUAUGCUCUUUUUAAUCUCACUUUGAUAAUUGAUGUUAAAAUAAUAAAUUUUUACUAUCUUUUAUUUUACCAAUUCUUUAGUAUUUUAUAUUCUUUAUAUUAAUUUGUAAUCUCUAAGAUAUUUUGUUGAGUAAAUUGUACAAAUGGUCCCUCAACUUUAAUCAAAUUGGAGCAAUGGUCCCUCAACUAAAAAUCCAUUACCUUUGGUCCCUCAACUUAUCAAAACGUGCAGCUAUGGUCCCUCAACUAAAAAUCCAUUACCAUUGGUCCCUGAACUUUAAUUCAAGUGGAGAAAUUGUCCUUUAACUUUAACCCAAUUGUAACAAUAGUCCUUCCAAUAUAACUCGUUUUGACAAAUUUUUUGACAUAGUUGACGAAAAGAACCAUAAUCAUACACUUUGAUGAGUUAAGGGACCCUAAUUAUAUAAAUGGUUAUUCCAACAUAGCUUAUUUUGACAAUAUUUUGACAAAAUUGAUGAAAAGGACUAUAGCUACACAUUUUGAUAAGUUGAGGGACCAAUGGUAAUGAAUUUUUAGUUGAGGGACCAUUGCUCCAAUUUGAUUAAAGUUGAGGGACCAUUUGUACAAUUUACUCUAUUUUGUUAAUCAAAGGGUAGAUUUUGUGGAUUAUAGAAAUUUCAUGAAUCGUGAUUUUUUUUUUUGGCCAAAAAUUUCGUGAAUCAUGAUUGAGCUCUCUCCAUUUGUAUGCACAGAUUGAUCCAGCCACACAUAUUUUGUAUGCACAGUGGUGAAAAAGUGUUGAGUGCUUACAUGACAGUAUUUAUUCAAACUUCAUCAAUAACUAAUCUAACAUUUAAUGUAACAAAUUUUAUCGAUGGACCAAAAAAAAAAAAGUUUGGUGCAAGAUGUAAAGGUGAGGGCCCACAAAUGCAAGCGUUGGGCGUGGCGGAGUGGAUCCCACGAUUUCAAAAUUCUGGACAGAAGGAACAUUUCUCUCAAACUUGGGCGCUGAAAAAAGUUGUCGUCGUCGUCUUUCCUUUUCUGGCUGAGUUUGCCUUCUUAAACCAACCCGAAAUUCUCGCCCCAAACAAAUAUUCAAACCUUUCCGUUUCUUCCCUUCACAAAUUUCCAAUUAGGGUUUCACAUUAACCUUGAUCAAAACUUCUACGUACAUAUAUAUACAUAUAUAUUUACAUAUAAUCUCUCUCUCUCCCUCUGUUUCUGAAUUUUGAUUUCCCGGGAAAGUUUCGAACUCGAUCGCUUCUUCGAAAGUCUCCUAAAGCUUUUUGAAAAAACAAAAAUCCAAAAUAUUUGUGAUAUAAAAAGGAAAUAAAUUUUAAAUCGCGCAUGGAAUUGACUGGUUCAUUUGCCUGAAAGUUGGUUCAGAUAGAGAGAGAUGGAGGGAGGGGAGACAGAGAUUGAGGGAGGAGAGAGAGAGAUGGAAGAAGAAAUGGUGGAAUUCGCGAGGGAGGCUUUCGAGGGGGAUGAAAUUGACAUGGACUACGAAUUCGAUGCGCUAAAGGUUCUACGAUUUCACUAGGCCGGAAUCUGAUUGGGAGGCCGAGGAGGCGGAGGAAUGGUUCCGGUCAGCCGGAGGCUAUAAGCCCUCGCGUAAGCGAUUUCCGGAUCAUUUGUUUGUUGUUUUCUUAGCAUGUCCCAAAAACAAUGAAUUGGAUCAUCUUCUAUGAUUACCACAUUAAUUAAUGAUCGUUUUCUGCUAAUUAAUUUCAGCAUCUACAUGUUAAGUUCAUGCAUUUUAGUUAUGUUACGUUGUUUUAUAUGAACAGAUUAGAGAUUGAAUUAUAAAUAUUAUAAUUUGAUUGGAUUAAUUUGUUACCACUAACUUUAUUUUUCCUUUGUUUAAUUUGUUUCAAAUCCUUUAGCUUUCCUUGAAAAAUGGUUGAAUUGGCAACAAGAGAAUCAUCCGGUACCUGUAAAAACCUCCGCGGAAUCGAAAGAUGUUGAAGUUACUAGAUGCAGUAACUUGAAUAAUUGCAUGAAAGCAAAGGUCUCUGCACCCGUAGAAGAUAAUGACAAAGGUACAUUCUACCUCAUUUCUUAUUAGAUUUUUGACGCAAUGUGAUACUUCGUUGUAAAAUUACUACACUCGGAAAAUUUUAGUUCUGUUUUCUGAAUCGGCUUUGCCUGAAUUGGUACAUGAAAUUGUAUCUUACUGUUAUGUUUUAUGUUAAACUUUCGACACGAUUAGAGUUUUCUAAUCACAUGGCUCAAGACACUCCGAAAACCAAACUGAAGUCCCCGGGUAAGUCACCACAUCUAUCAAGGAGUUCAACGUUAAUGAAACCCACGGCGAGUCGGUUGGCCAAGCAAAAUCAGCACCGAGAGGUUCACUCCAAUCGGUUAUUAAGGAGGUGCUGUUAUUUUUCUCUGAUGUUUCUGUUGUCAUCAAUGUAUCUUUUGUUCUAAUUGUUUGGUGGUCCAGUUUUCUAACUUGUCCCAUUUUCCGACUCUUGGUUACAGAGUUGCGAAAAAGCUCGGGAAACUUGAUUAGAAAUCACCGAAUUCUCCGCCACCUACGAUGGGCUACGAAAAUUCGAAGUAAUGUAGCAUAGCACUUUGCAAAUUGGGUAGUGCUAUCCACACGUCCAUUUUUACUUUUAACACACCCCUCUCAAUUUUUCGGUCAUUGGAAAAAUGAGUGUGUAAAUAGUACUAUCCUACAAAUUACGCAACCGAAACUAUAUCAGAAGAGCGAUUAUAACGUAUUAAAGUACCAUCUCACUAAAUUAUCCAACAAUGUUUCAGAGAUUAGAAACAAUCAUACCACUUUCAGCUUAGUCAUUCCAUCAAACGGCUGGUACGCUGCAAUCCCACUUAUGCUCAAAUCACCACCGUCCGUUCCCACCAUCGAUUCCAUCAGAUUCUCCGAAACCCAUUUCUCAAUCAAAUCCAAACACAGCUGCAACCACACCCAGAAAAUUAAAAAGUUGAACUUUACAUAAACUCCACUCCGAAAACAUAAAUUACACAAAACCCAACAAAAUCUCACCCUGUUCUCAGACAAUCCGAGUUGAAUAACCCCAUCCGGAUUAUCCACCCUAUCGUACGGCUCCUCCGAAGCCCUAUCCAACCCGAUAUAGUACGGCGAGUCAUUGGGCUUCGCAACCCAGCUCGCCCGGGAGGACAUCCGGACCCGGCCCAUGGGCCCGCGGGUGGACAAGCUGGACCGCGACGGCGUUCUGGGGAGCUCCGCCAGGUUGGAGGAGGACUGGGAGGGGGAAGGUGGAUCGGGGUUGGAGGGUCGGCGUCGUUUUAGGUAGAGCUGGAGGCAGUAAUAGAGAGCACAUGGGAUUAGAGAGGCGAGGAUGAGGCCGCCUCUGCCUUGGACGACGCCUUGGAGUGGCACAAUCAGUCUCAUCGCGGUGACUCCGGUGGGCUUGUUUCGGGUUGGGUCGGAGUCGGGUUCGCGGGUCCGGGUCUCGAGCUGUAGUGGGAGGGUUUCGGGUUGGCCGUGGGUUGCCGUGGAGGGAUUGAGUGAGAUUCGAGAGCCCUGCGAGGGAAGUGUGUGUUUUUGCAGUUUUGCUUCCAGAAACUUUUGGUCAGUUUACGAUUGGCACCUGCCAGUUUCGAUAUUUGGAUCUUUUGUUGGCGUGCUAACACCUCGUCGUAUUACUUUAUAGCACAUUUACUAUUCCGGAAUCAGAUUAACGGAAUUUAAUGAAGAAUGAAUUGAAUUGAAGAUGAAUUAGAAUGAGGUAGAAUCAGAAUCAGAUUAUUGUUGGAGUUGUUUAUUAAAAUUAUCUGGAAUCAGAAUAAAAACUUAUGUGUUUAGGGAACCCUAGUUUAACUAAUCUAUUUUAUAUGCAAAUUAUUUUUAAACUUUUAUUCUUUCAUUUUUUUUUCGUAUAGAGAACAUUUUUAUUUUAUUUUGUAGUAAAAAUUUAUUCUUUCAUUUUUCCAAUUUUUUUUUUGUGACCCUCAGUCUCUCCCCUCUCUUCCCCAUCUUUCUCCCGACCUAAAAAAGUUUCUAAGGGUUUGUUUGGUAUCCUAUUUGAAAUUUUUUAUAAUUUUUCAAAACAUUUCUAAAGAAUUUUUCUUGAAAACAAUUUUUUUUAAGACUCAAAAACUUGUUUGGUAUGCGAUUUAAAAUUUUUAAAUCUUACAACUUAAACUGGACAAAAAGAUCCAUAAAAAUGGGGUCGAGAGAGAAAGAGGAGAGAGGAGAAAAGAAAGUCAGAGAUGAUUGGAGGAAAGAGAAAGAAGUGAGAAGAUCGGAGGAGAUAGAGAGGAAGAGGAGUAAGAGAAAGAACCGAGAAAAUGAAGAGAGCGGAUUGGAAGAGAGACGAAAAAGGUAAAAUAAAAAAGAGAAGGGUGAGAGAGAAAGAAGAAAAUAGAGAUAGAUUUAGAGUGAGAGGGGAGGAAGAAGAGAAAAGAAAUGAGUGAGUUUAAGUUUAAAAACUCUAAAAACUCACUUUUUGUGUUUUUAGAUAAUAGACUAUAUUUUUUAGUUAGUCUUGAGUUCAGUUUUUGAAAAUAAUCCUACUAAACAAGUUUUUAAGGCCUAAAACUUGAAAAUUGUUUUUGAGUUUAAAAAGUUGGAUUCAAGUAGCGUACCAAACAUGCUCUAAAAUGUCCCCAUCUUUCUCUGUUUUUGACGUUCUGCCGACCUAACCCUUUCUAACAUAUCUUUCUAUGUUGCCAACCCACCCCACGUUUGGCAAUAACCUUUCAUGCUCCCUCUUUCCAUGUCCCAGCCUUGAUUUUUUUACCCCAAUUUUGAGUUUCCCAGUUGAGGCAAUGACUGAGCUUUUAACCAUGGAGUCGGCAGAUUGAAGAGUCGAAAUGAGAAUAUAUAAGCAUAGGGACAUGAAUCAAGUUUGGGAUAAACAACAGCUGACUGAAGGCCAAGAGGAAGAUGGACCUUGAAAGCUCCAGUCCCAAGUCGCGAAAACGAAGAGGAAUUGGAGAAGAAGUUGCAACGAGUCGACUGAGAGAGAAACUAGAGUGUUGAAGUUGCAGGGGUGUUUUGGGAUAUCAAAAGAAGUACAAGGCCACUUUAGAAAGAAAAGUUUGAUUAUUGAUGGACCCUUUCUUCUGGAAUUCAAUUACCAGUAUAUCUUGGUAAUCAGAUUCCGGGUAAAUCCGGAAUUGAAUUCCCCAUUUUGGUGGACCCCACCUUUAUUUUCAUUCUCCAAAUACAAGUAAACACAUGAAUGCAUUGGAAGGAAUUCAAUUCCGAUUCCACUUACCUCAUUCCCGUUUCGUAAUGAACAGUGUUUGUACCCGGAUUUCAGUUUAAUUACAACCAUGCCAUUGCUUUAAUGAGUAGGCUUUGUGGAAGGUUUGGGUUCGGGCUGGGGUUUUAUUUUUUUGGGUUUGGGAGGAUGGGCUUUUGCGGGUUUGGGGUGUGGCUGGGUUUGUUUUGGUUGGUGUUUGUAGGUGUAGGUAUGGAGUAAGGUGGAUGCGGUGACACAUCCACAGAGCCUAACCUGCAGCUUGCAGAAUGGCAGAGAGAAGAGGAGAGAUGGAAGAGUCGUGGGUGAGAAAAAAGGAGAGAGGGAAGAGUCGUGAGUUGCAAACGGGAUAGGAGGAAAGACGGAAGGAGAGAAGGAAGGGUAGGAUGAGCGAAGCAACGGUAGGGGUGCCCGAAAGUUUGGGAUUGUUUGUUGUCGACAACGGGUGCGCAGAGAGAGGGCGAGGCACGGAGGGAGGGCUAGGGGUAGGGUUCCUUUCGGAAUUUUGGUCCAACUCAAUGGGUGAGUAAUGCUAUUUAUUUUCAUGCGCAUGUUUUCUGGAAGUUCAUUCCUGUUUUGGGAUGUUUGAAUAUGUAGGCAUUGUUUAAAUUACAAUAUUUUAUAAAGUUAAACUGUUUAAAUUACUUAUUUAUAAUUUUAGCCCUUGCGCCACUUUGAGGGACUACUGGGAUUGACUGCUGGUAGAGCUCAUAUCAAUUGCUGUAAGUCCCUUACUUCCGGACACUUACAUUUAUGAUCAUUUUUGUGUUAAGAUGAUACAGUUAUAACUUAUAACCGUCUUACAUAGAUCAACGCAUAUGUAUAUCGAAUUUACCUACAUUACUCGAACAAUUUCUUUUCGAUUCACAAAGGGAAUUAAUAAAAUCCAAUAUCUGUGUAAAAGUUUGGUUUCCAACUUUCUAGCAGUGAAAGUGUUGCCCUUUCUGCAGACUACACCCUUUCACACACUCACUUUGAUAUGGUUAAACAUAUGUAUUCAAGAUUUUGAUCUCUGUGUGAUUUGGCAAUACUUAUCACCUAAUAUUCCUCUCUCUCUCUCAUGAAGGCACUCAUUGCAUUAAAAAAAGGUUCCCAGUUAAUCAAAUAUAGCCGGAAAGGGAAGCCAAAACUUUGUCCAUUCAGAAUUUCAACUGUGAGUAAUUUCCUUAAGAGAAGAACAAGUUUGAAUCACUUUUUUUGUAAUUGUGUUUAUUAUAGUUCUUUGAAUGAAAAUCCUAAUUUGUACAAAUUACAAGGUAUGUUACCACCCUCUUUAAUCUAAAUAUAUGCAAUGUGCAGAAUUACAUCUGUUCUCAAGAAUGAACCUGUUUUGUUCCAUCCUUCUGUUAAGGAUUAUAAUUUAUAUAGAAUUUAUAAGGUUUCUCUCUUUCAGGUUACUUUAUGUUUCGAAUUAAUUGGAUAUAGCAUUCUUCACGAGCUUUGAUAAUUAUUUAAUUUCUAAGUUUUGUUCCAUGCAUGGUUGAUUUUCUUUAAUAAUUAUUGAAUCACUUCUAUAUUUGCUUGGUACUUAGGAUCUAAAGCAUUUUUCCUUUUGAAGAGCAGCUACAGGGAAAGUAUGAGGUGCCCUUUUCUUCUUUGUGUGUGUUUUUUUUUUAAUUUCUAAUUUUUAUGCCGGAACUCGAAAUCAAAGUUCUGAUCUGGGACUGAUUGCUUAGAGCUCUGAUUGCUUACCUUGUCUGUCACCUCUUUCAGCAGAUCCCCUAGCUCGACGACUUGGGGGACUCCUACUACAUGGUUUGUAUCGCGCUUAACCAAGCCUGAAACUACAAGUAAGCUUCAAGUGAAAUUGAUACAUUACCUUGUGCAUCUCCACCAGUUAAAGAUACCACCCUUGGAUGGAGGAAGAGUACUUCAAGAGAAGAUGCCGCAUCUACCUAUGAGACAGAUAAGGCAAGUCAAGACGAUACCACACUCUGGUACUUAGAAGUUUCGUGAUUACGAGAUCAUUCUCCCACAGUCUUUCCUAAUGUCAUUUGUACUAAAUCAUUCACUUGUACUCAUUAAAGGAGAGCUUGAACCUACGUACUUGUGUAAACCCUUCACAAUUAAUGAGAACUCCUCUAUUCCGUGGACGUAGCCAAUCUGGGUGAACCACGUACAUCUUGUGUUUGCUUUCCUAUCUCUAUCCAUUUAUAUACUUAUCCACACUAAUGACCGGAGCAAUCUAGCGAAGAUCACAAAAAACGACCGUUUUCGCUACCUAGGAUCUAUCUUGCAAGAGACCGGAGAAUUAGAUGGAGAUCUCAACCAUAGAAUACAAGCUGGAUGGAUGAAGUGUAAGAGUGCAUCCGGCGUGUUGUGUGACCGUCGUAGGCCACUGAAGCUCAAGGGAAAAUUUUAUAGGACGGCAAUAAGGCCAGCAAUGUUGUAUGGCACAGAAUGUUGGGCGGUGAAGUAUCAACACGUACACAAAAUGGGUGUAGCGGAGAUGAGGAUGCUUCAUGGGAUGUGUGGGCACACGAGAAAGGAUAAAAUUGGGAAUGAGGAUAUCCGAGGUAAAGUAGGAGUAGCCGAAAUUGAAGGAAAGAUGAGAAAAAAUCGGUUACGGUGGUUUGGACAUGUGCAAAGAAGGCCUACUGACGCUCCGGUUCGAAGAUGUGACUACGGGACAGAGGUUCAUGGCCGAAGGGGUAGAGGAAGACCUAGGAAAACUUUGGAAGAGACCCUAAGAAAAGACUUAGAGUACUUGGAUUUAACGGAGGACAUGACACAAAACCGAGCGCAAUGGCGUUCUAGGACUCAUUUAGCCGACCCCACUUAGUGGGAAAAGGCUUUGUUGUUGUUGUUGUUGUCUAAUUUUUAUGCAAGACAUGAAAUAUUGUAGGAAUCAAAUGUAUGAUUGUCACCAAAUGUAUACACCUGUGCAUAGUUAGUUUUCCUUACUCUAUUCGAAUUUCGCUCUAAUUUUCUUUACUCUUCCUUGUAUGCUGUGUUGUAUGUGAAAAUCUGAAAUGAUAGCAUUUGUUAAUCUGUGUUUUGGGUUGUGAUUUCCCAUAUUUUACUUACAAUUUCUGAGUCAUUUAUCUGACCUGAAAAAAAUAUUUGGUCCUACUUCUGGGCUAACAUUUAUUGGUUUUAUUUUUAUUCCUGAUAGAAAUUCAAACAUCAUCCUGCAAUCAAAACACCGCUGGAAGGUGGGACUGUUCCCUAUAAGUAUGCUGUCAGCACUGAAUGAAAUGUUUAUUGAAGAGUUAAGGCUGGAGGCUUUAAGAACAGGGUUUCUCAUAGCUGGAGUUCUCAUUGUUGUCAAUCAUAGUAAUUUCAUGUAAGAUGUAGUUAAAGCACACUACAAGCAGAAGUAGACAAUUUGCAAUCCUUCUCCCUUGGUUUCUUAACUUUUGAAUAUAUAGCGUAAUCCCCUAUUGCUAGACAUUCUAGCAACAUAGGUGCUUAUGUUGCCAGAUAGUGUAUAUGGACCACACAUUCUGGCAAAAGUUUACAUGAUCAAUGGUUUAGAUUUACAAUUUGGCAUAUGUGGUCAGACUAUCAUUCUGAACCAUUGAUAAGAUGGGUGUUUGCUUAACGUGUGGUGCCAGAUUUAUAGUCUUGCGACAUUUCUGCUAUUUUUAAGAGAGCAAUACUCUCUCCGCUUCCUCCUUGCAUAAUGAUAAUUAUAUAUUUGUGUGUGUGUGUGUGUGUGUAACUAUGUAUAUAUCUUUUUUUUUUUGUGUUGUACAUGUUAUACAAAUGCAAGUAUGAUGUUAUAUCCCCCCCUAAGCUGCUGAAACUCACAUAUCAUAUAGGAUGCAUAUGUUUUGUUUUAUUGAACUGGACUAACAAAAUUUAGAGUUUCUACUUAUUUGAUAUGGAUAUGGAGUAAAUUUGCUCCGUUGUUAAUAAGUUCAUGUUCCCUCUCUUAAUUCAGGCAUUGAGUAUAUCCCUUUCGGCCCUGGGGUCUUCGAAGUGGCUUCAGAAUAAUAAGCCUAAGACACUGGUUCUUAUAAUAUACAUGUGUAGGAAUUGUUCAAACCAUCCAUCUAUCAUAAGGUCAGCUCCUUAGCUUCCCUUUGUUCUACCGCUACUUGAAAAAUUAUGCGCUUUUAAAAUUGGUCCAUUGCUAUGACUAUUUCAAAGUUAAUUUUGGGCCAACAUAAUAGAAAGACAUUUUCAAAGUUAAUUUUAAAUGAAAAUGUUAUUUCCAAAAUGCUUAGCUUUUAUGAAGGUAAUCCCAAUAAGAUCUAUGAGUUUGAUUCACUUUAGUUUUUAUAAUUCUUAUUUGUUCGCAUUUCCUCAUGUUCAUGCAGUAUAGUUUUUAUAAUCCCUUGAAUGAUACUCAGCUCUCAGUUUCCAAGUCAACCCCCUUCGAUGCUGAUCAGAGAUACUCACGUUUGCAGCGUGAUGGCUUGGUCUCUAGGCGUGAGAAGUCAAUGACAUAUAUGCAAGAUGAUAUGCAACAACUGAGAGGAUGCAGUUCUGGCACCUAGGUUUUGGGAAGAAAUGGAAUGGAGAUGAUACUGAAGAAGAUUGUAAGUCAUGCCUAAUCACUAAAUACAUUAGCAAUUUUAGUGACUAGUCUGAGCUCACCCUAUAUAUAUGAAGAGAUAUUGAAAUAAUGAUUAGAAUAUGGUAAUUCACAAAUGAUUAGGAUUGUGUGAAUGUUAGUUUAAAAUGAAGUUUCUGACCAGAGAUACUCAUGUUUGUAGCGUGAUGGCUUGGUCUCUAGGCGUGAGAAGUCAAUGACAUAUUUGCAAGAUAAUAUGCAACAACUGAGAAGAUGCAAUUCUGGGACCAAAUCCCUGGGUUUUGGGAAGAAAUGGAAUGGAGAUGAUACUGAAGAAGAUUGUAAGUCUUGCCUAAUCACUAUAUACAUUACUACAUUAGCAAUUUUAGUGACUGGUCUGAGCUCACCCUAUAUAUAUGAAGAGAUAUUGAAAUAAUGAUUAGAAUAUGGUAAUUCACAAAUGAUUAGGAUUGUGUGAAUGUUAGUUUAAAAUGAAGUUUCUGACCAUUGUAAACAAACUAUAUAUUUUACCUUUGUCUUGGGAUACAGUAUCACGUUUAACGAUUGAAUUUGUAAUACGGUUUAGCAGUUUUUUCAUAAACUUAAUAUUCUUGCCAGAUGCUCAAGUAUUGUCUUCUACUUUUCUACUUUCCCCUUUUUGUGUUUUUCCUCCAUGUAGUGGGCUGAUUACUUGAAACUAUGAUAUUGAUGACACAGUACGGUCUACAAAUGAAUGUUUCUUAUAGCUAUCCAUAUAUAGCAAGCAAGUUUUGACUUCAUUUGUUCUUAGGUACUACAACGUCUUUUUAGUUGCUUUGUGUCGAAACUAUUCAUGCUUUCACUCAUGUGUCCCUUUGUUCAUUCAUGAUUGUAUUGAAUUUAUUCAGGUUAAUGUGUCUUAUUCAUGCAGUUACGCCUGAAACAGUUGCUUCCCGCCGCAACACGCAUACUUAUCAUCUAGUAAUAACAAAAAGAACGAAAUUUCAUUCUUUUUGGGGUAAAGAUGUAAUUUUGAAUCAAAUGCUAUUCUUAUCAUAUUUUUAGGAUAAAUAACGGUUUAACACAUUGAACUAUCACUCCAGUUGAAAUUGACCCCUUAAACUAUAUUUUUGGUAAAUUAACACCCUGAACUAUUUAAAGUAUGUCAAUUAACCCCUUCUCGUUAGAUUGCGGAAUCAAUUCCGUCAAAUUCAAGGGCAAAUUAAUCAUUUCAUCAUCAAUUGUUACUUGCAAUUAUAAUUACCAAUAAAAUUAUGACACAUGGACACAUAAUAAUUCAAAAACAUAUAGCAUAAUGAGAAAACACAAAAAACCAAACUUUUAUAUAAUGGACCAUCUCACAUUGUCAUUACACAUUAUUUUGUGUCCACAUGUCAUAAUUUCAUUGGUGGUUAUAGUUGACAAGUAAGAAUUGAUGAAGGAAUGACUAAUUUUCUUUUGAAUUUGACAAAAUAGUUGAUGGAAUAUACUGACAAGGGGUCAAUUGGCUGAUUUCAAAUAAUUUAGGGGUUAAUUUACCACAAAAAUAGUUCAGGGGAUAAAUUUCAACUGGAAUUAUAGUUAAAGGGGUCAAAUGGAAAUUUACCCUAUUUUUUAUACCGUAUUUUUAAUUCUUCUAUGAGACGUGUGUGUGUGUGUGUGUGGACCUCGCUUUUAUUAGAGAGAUUGAAAAACUUAUUAAUGUGCUCGUAAUAGUAGUUGUACCAUAUGUUAUGGUACAAAUACUGAAUACUAUGCCGUGUUUCAAGCAUACUGAAAUAUUUGUCAGAAAGAUGGUACAAAUGUAAACGACUUCACGAAUGAUGGCAGGCCUACCAAAUAUAAAAUGGUGGUUAUUUGUUCAUUUGUCAAACCCAGCUGGUGCAGUGGUUGGUGUGGGUGGUCUCACAUGUUGACCUCAACGACUGCUAUUGCUACAACAUAGCAAUUUUCCUGCUCAGCUGACUAAAUUGCAAAGAUGUAAACUUUAUUUUUAUUCAUCUCCGACUCUCAUCCAGAUCGCAUUGUUAAUCACCCCUCUAAUUCGAGUUUUUCUUUCUUACGGUAUUGAUAAUAUAACAGCAUAUAAUGAAUCUUCCAAAGUACAGGGCAUAUAAUAUACCAGCACUUCUGAAAUUAUUGAACAUUGAAUCGGAACGAGUGUGAAAAGUGCUAUAUGAUGGAUACCUAAGUCAAUGCAUGAGACAAACGCUGAUUCAUCACGUCACGUUCAUAAAUUCAGUCUCCUUGCAAUCCAGAAAGUCAUCUGCAACCUAAGCAGAAAUAUUCCACAUAGAAUUGAAAAAUGUUCAUGAUUUCUUAUCAUAUGAGAGCAAACAUUCAUCAGUUAUAGAUACUUUGUCUGCCAGAAAAGGCAGGAUACAAAAUGGCAGAACUGAUUGUAUGCUUUGUGGUCGACAAAUUAAUUCAACUACUCAUCACUACAGAAGCAAACCUCUCGAGAAAUGCACGUACUGAAGUUGGUUUCAUCAAAGAUGAACUCGAGAGCAUCCGAUCAUUCCUCAGGGAAGUAGAUGCUAUGGCUGCAGCAGCAGUUGGAGAGACGGCGAAUGACGGUGUCAAAACUUGGGUCAAUCAAGUAAGAGAAGCAGCUUUUUACGUGGAAGAUGUCAUUGAUGAAUAUUUGCUCCGGAGUAUACGGCAUCAUCAGCACCAUGGAUUCGUUCGUUUUUUCCAUAAAAUUAUCCGGUUGGCUAAAACAAUGAGAUCACAGGAUGGGAUAGUUUCGAAAGUUGACCGUAUAAAAGAAUUGGUACGUGAAAUCAAGGAGAGAAGCGAAAGAUAUGGAUUCAAAUCCAUUGAUCAGCAAGGCCAGAGCAGUGGAGAAAAGUCUCUACAGUGGAACGACCCUCGAGUGGUUUAUUGGUAGGAGUGCCAAGACGUGAAGUGAUAUCAGUGGUUGGCAUGGGAGGACUUGGAAAAACCACUCUUGCCAAGAAAGUGUAUGACCAUCCGAAGGUCAUGGCACACUUUGAUUGCUAUGCUUGGAUUACGGUGUCCCAGUCAUACAGGGUUGAGGAUCUUUUGAGGACGGUAAUAAAAAGGUUCUACAGUUCAAGGAAGGAGCGUUUCCCAGGGGAAAUUGACACAAUGGAUGAGGAGUCCCUGAUUAGCAAAUCAAGAGAGUAUUUGCAGCAAAAGAGGUACGUUGUUGUGUUUGAUGAUGUGUGGAAAGUAGAUUUUUGGGGGGGCUAUAGAACAUGCUUUACACGAUAAUAAAGGUGAACGAAUAAUUAUCACUACAAGGAUUCAGGAUGUUGCCGAUUUUUGCAAAAGAUCUUGUUUUGUUCAUGUUCAUCACUUGCAACCUCUGCCUGCAAACAAGGCAUGGGAAUUGUAUUGUAGAAAGGCAUUUCAGUUUGAAUUGGAGGGAAAUUGUCCUCCAGAGUUGGAAGAGUUGUCUCUUAACAUCGUCAAAAGAUGCGAAGGACUACCUUUGGCGAUUGUUUCCAUAGGUGGUCUGCAGUCAACGAAAGUUAAGCUUGUGUCUGAAUGGCAGAAGUUAUACAAUAGCUUAAGUUCAGAGUUAGAAAGCAAUCCCCAUCUUACAAGCCUCACAAGAAUCCUAUCACUCAGCUAUCAACAUCUUCCGUAUCACCUCAAAUUGUGUGUCAUAUACUUUGGCAUCUUUCCCGAGGACUACUCAAUUAGUUGCAUAAGGUUAGUUCGGUUGUGGAUCGCUGAAGGCUUCGUGAAACCGAAGAGGGGUAAGACGCUAGAAGAGGUUGGAGAGGAAUACUUGAUGGAGCUAAUUCACCGAAGCCUAGUCCAAGUGUCAGAAGUUUACACUGAUGGAAAAGCUCGAGCUUGUAGAGUUCAUGAUCUUUUGCACGAAGUCCUCCUUAAAAAGGGUGUGGAUUCGAGCUUCUGUCAUGUGUUAUCAAAAGACGAGUCAACUUUUAAACCAACAACUCGACGUCUCUCAAUGGACAUCAGUCCCUUUGAGGCCCUGGGAAGCAUUACACAAUCCCACAUUCGUUCUGUAUUUACUUUCAACCAAGAAGAAUGGCCCGAGUCUUUUCUCAAUACAUUGAGUGGAAACUUUAAACUUCUGAAAGUAUUGGAUGUCACGGAUGCUCCAAUCAAUCAACUUCCGAAAUAUGUGGGGGAUUUGUAUCUCUUGACAUACUUAAGCCUGAGGAAUACAAAGGUGAAGUUGCUUCCAGACUCCAUAGGCAAUCUGCAAAACUUAGAAACUCUGGAUCUAAAACAGUCUUUGGUGUAUGAAAUACCAGCCAAGAUCAAUAAGCUUGUUAAGCUGCGGCAUCUUUUGGCCUACUAUCGUGACUACAACUACAACAUGGAUAUGUUCUUGAAUAUGGAAAGAGGAGUGAAGAUACAUGAAGGUAUUGGAUGCUUACAAGCUUUGCAAAAACUGUCCUAUGUGGAGGCGAAUCAUGGAGGGAACAAUCUGAUCAAAGAACUGGGAAAGUUAAGGCAGCUGCGGAAGUUAGGCCUAAAAAAUUGGAAAAGUGAAGAUGGAAGGGCUCUACGUGCUUGUAUUGAAAAGCUGAACCACCUUGAAUCUCUACUUUUAACUGCACUAAAUGGAGAUGAAGUCCUUGAUCUAGAAUCCAUUUCAACUCCACCAGAAUUUCUUUGUGCUCUCUGCUUGAUAGGGCGUUUAGAGCAGUUGCCAAGUUGGAUUUCAAAUCUCCAACACCUCGUCAGGAUAACGAUUUUUUGGUCAAGGUUGAGAGAUUCCCCAUUAAAAGCCCUUCAAAAUCUACCUAAUCUGUUGGAGCUAGUUUUGAAAAUCAAUGCAUAUGAUGGUGUGCAGCUGCAUUUUGAGGAAGGAGGAUUUCAGAAGCUGAGGCAUCUGGAACUCAGGGACAUGGAGGGACUAAAUUCAUUGAUCAUAGACAAUGGGGUUAUGCCUCUUCUCCAAGAGUUUCACAUUGGACCUUCCCCACAACUGAAGGAGGUGCCCUCUGGCAUCCACCAUCUCCGAAAGCUGAGAUAUCUUGUUUUCUUUGAGAUGCCAAAGGAGUUUGAACGACAUAUGGAUCCAAAUAAUGGACUGCAACAUUGGAUUGUUGAACAUACACAAGAUGUCCGCUUUAGUUACAAGUUCGGACCAAGAUGGUGUGAAUAUGAAACUCACGCCCUACGUGAUUCCAACUUUUCUUUUUGGGAGAAUGCUUGAUUCCAGCUUGUGAAACCAAGCAUGGGAAUGGGAUGGUCUCUUUUUGUACAGUUUUUGGUUAGAGGUUGACUGGGAGUGACUCUUUCUCUUCUGUUUUUUUUGUGUCUUCCAGUCGAGUGGCCUUCCUAGUAUUUUCCUUAUAAUUUUAUUGGUGGUUGCAAUAAAACUGUUUGUUUAUAAAAAUUAAAAAUAAAUAGGUAUCGUGCAACUCAUAAUGCUCAAAUACCAUAAUAAAUUUUCAUUGAACUUUAGGUGAAUGAAUCAAGUUUUUACAAAGAUAAAUGGCAACUAUUUACCUCAAAUCUUUGUUGUAAAAAUGAAGAAUUCCUUCAUUUUUUUUUUCUGGUGAGUUUUGUCCCUAAAUCAACAAUUCAACUAAUUGAGAAAAGUAAUUGAAGAAAGUUGAGGUUUCAUCAUAAAACCAAUUGACAUCAUAGGGAGUAGUCCAACUAUGCAAGAUCUCGCCCUCCAUCAAUGGAAUUCAUUCUCAAUAUGCCCCCUCACGUGUAGCGAAUUUUCAAUCCGAACACGUAGACAACACAAACGGGAUGACGAAGAGCACGUGUGGCCGUUGAGUUUCACGCAUGAGACAACUUGCUCUGAUACCAUGAAAAAGUUGGGUUCCAUCGUAAAAUCAAUUGGUACUAUGGGGAGUAACCCAAUUGCUUAUAAGUACAUGUAAUAUCUCUCAUUCGAUCAAUGUAGGAUUCAUUAUCAAGAGUAAUAAGACUGAAGAACAUGAUUUAGUAAACUAAAUCUUACCAUUUUUCAUCACAGAAGAGGCAGGCAUCCAUUGAGGUGUGGCGCUAGCUGGGCUAUUGAAUAAUAACAAGAAGAAAGAAAUUUCAUUCUUUUUGGGGGUAAAGAUGUAAUUUUCAUCAAAAUGCUACUCUUGUCACAUUUCACAUCACAUUUUUACCACAUCAACUAUAGAGAGAAAAUUUUUAGUAUUUGAAAUAUGGACACCUACGUCAUAUGUCAUUAUACAAGUGGAGGGAUUGAGUGAGAUUCGAGAGCCCUGCGAGGGAAGCCAUUUUGCAUCUUUUGUUGGCGUACAAACACCAUCCUCGUAUAAUAACAAAAAGAACGAAAUUUCAUUCUUUUUGGGGUAAAGAUGUAAUUUUGAAUCAAAGUCUUUUCUUAUCAUAUUUUUCUUACUGUAUUUGUAACCGUUAUGAUGCAAAUGUGUGUGGAUCUUACUUCUAUUAGAAAAAUUAAGAAAAUUUUUAAUGUGCUCAAAAUAAUAUUUGAUACUAUUCUGUGUUUCAAAUACACUAAAAAAAUCUCUAAACAACUUCAUGAACGAUGGCAGGCGUACCAAAUAUAAAAUGGCGGUUGUUUGUUUAGUUGUAAUACCCAGCUGGUGCAAUGGUUGGUGUGGCCUCACUUGUUGACCUCAACGACUGCUAUUGCUACAACAUAGCAAUUUUCCAGCUCGGCUGACUAUAUUGCAGAGAUGUAAUCUUUCAUUGAACUUUAGGUGAAUGAAUCAAGUUUUUAGCGUCUGAAACACAAAAUGCUCAAAUGUCAUAAUAAAAUUUCAUUGAACUUUAGGUGAUUGCAGAGAUGUAAUCUUUCUGGGGGUAAAGAUGUAAUUUUAAUCAAAAUGAUACUCUUGUUACAUUUCAUAUCACAUUUGUACCACGUCUACAAUAGAGAGAAAUUUUUUAGCGUUUGAAACACGGACACCUACGUCAUAUGUAAUUAUACAAGUAGAUAAACAUUUGAAAAAUAAAACUUCUCAACAUUUUGUACAAUAACAUGAGGUGCCGUCCGUAUUUUGAACACAUUGAAAUUUCUCUCUUAAUAGAGAUAUGACCACAUGUGUUGAAGGCCUUCUUCUAUUAAAAAAUAUGAUAAUUUUGAAUUGAAAAUUUGAAAGGUUUGACGAAUGACGGCAGGCUUACCAAGUAUAAAAUGGUGGUUGUUUGUUUAUAGGAGAGUGCUUGUUUUAAUUUUCGUUUGGUUGUGCUGCCUCUUCUGAAUCUAUGUAUGAAGGAUGGAGAUUUUUUAUUUGUAGGAUCUACUUCAUUAAUUUGUUGCUUUGGAAUCAUGGUGGUGAUUAAGCGAUGCGAUAGACCUAUAAGCAUCGUACUCUCAAUCACAAUUUAUGGUUUGAGAUUUUGUUCUCACAUGAUCAUCUUGUAACAUGAAGUUUCCCAUUUUAUCUGUGUAAUCAUGUGAUUCCCAAUGAGCUCAGAUGAAUGGUUGAAGUUUACUUGUUGCUUUGCAAGUAGUGAUGCUUAUUGUAAUAUUUUUAGAUCUAGUUUAUAAAGACCCUUUUGAAGCCAAAUUCUUCAUGAUAUAUAUUUAUAAUACUCUUCUAUAAAUGAAUGAAAAUAUCAUACUGCUCUUGUUUUUUUUUUUUUUUAAAAGAGAGUUUGGAUAGGUAUUACUAUUGAUGCAAAGCCACAGGAAACCUUGUUGGCUUUGGUAAGGCAAACCAUUAAGCAUGCAAUUACUAGUCAAUCCCAUCUGCCAGCUGGUGGAAUGGUUGGUUUGGUCUCACUUUUUGGUGUGCCUUGUAUAAAAGGCAUGUGAUGCUCAGUUCCGUAUUUUAGUCACAUUAAAAAAUUUCUCCUUAUACAUUAUUCCAAGUUCAGGACAUAAUAUAUACUGACAUUGAUUCUCUCUGGAUCCAUUUCCAUAAUAUACCAGCAGUUCUUGAAUUAUUGAAAAUUGAAUCAGAAAAAGUCUGCAAUAUGAUAUAAUGGAUUGGAUAGGAAUCCGAAUCUCUUCCUCCGAAUCCAUCAAAUAAGGAAAUUCGUACAGUUGAAAUUUGAUCAAAUCAUUAAAAUUAUUAUAACUUUUAAAUUGGCUAUCUGUUUGUAACCGUUAAAUCAAAUUUCAACGACACGAAUUUUCUGAUUUGAUGGAUUCCUUAUGGAUUACCUAAUUCAAUAGGAGGUAGAUUCUCUGCCCUCCCACUUCUUAUGCCCUCCUGUUUGUGUGGUCACGGUUAAGCCACGUCAAUAUUUUAUAUUACUAUUCUUUUUUGUCUUAUUAUCUUUAUAAAAAAUAAUAUAAAAUGUUAACAUAGCUUAACCGUAACUACACAAAACAGAAGGGUACGGAAGGACACUGAAAGUGGGAGGGCAGAGAAUCUGCCUCCAAUUCAAUAUGAGCCAAUCGUUGCCUUAUCACAUCAUAAUUCAAUAUGAGCCAAUUGCUGCCUUAUCACAUCACCUUCAUAUUUUAAUUCACCUUACAAUCUAGAAAGUCGUCUGCAACGGAUUCGGAUCCCAUCCGGAUUCAAAAUGUGGAAAUGUUAGAGGUUCUCACAUCUUAACUAUUCAUCGUGCAUCGUUUGGUAAAAAAUUAUUUGAUUUUUAUUUAAAAUUAAACAUAAAUAGUACCUGAUGAAAAUUACCGGCAUGAUGUACGAUGAAUAGCUAGGAUAUGAGAAUUUCUAAAAUUCCUACAAAGUGGAUCCGGAGAGGAUCCUCUUCCGUCUGCAACCUAACCAGAAAUACUGCACACAGAAUUCUAAAAUGUUCAAAAUUUCAUAUAAUUGAGCACAUAUUCAUCAAUUAUAGAUGCUUUGUCUGCCAGAAAAGGGCAGGAUACAAAAUGGCAGAACAGAUUGUAUGCUUUGUGAUCGACAAGUUAAUUCAACUACUCAUCGCCACAGAAGCAAACCUUUCGAGAAAUGCACGUACUGAAGUUGGUUUCAUCAAAGAUGAACUCGAAAGCAUCCGAUCAUUCCUCAAGGAAGCAGAUGCUAUGGCUGCAGCAGCAGAUGGAGAGACGGGGAAUGACGGUGUCAAAACUUGGGUCAAUC
rnacentral:lncRNA from 1 species